rnacentral:lncRNA from 1 species
UUUCUUUUUGACAAGAAUAGUUCCAUUUUUUGUUCUGAUGAUUUCUGUUCUUGCACUGCAAUUUCUGCAGAUGCAGCUGAUGACGCCGACGUCUGCGUGCAGAACUGCAACAGGAAGCUGAGCCAGAUGGCCCAGACACACUGAUUAACCGCCAAACCGCUCCGUUUUAGGAGAAGAGAAGAAGAUCUGAAGAGCUACCUUGUCUGAUCAUGGGAUCAGUACAUAUACUAUAUGAAUAUGAUGUUGAAUGGCUGUGAUUGUAGCAGCAACCAAUAAAUUGAGUAUGUCGAUAUGUAAGGCAUAAUUAAUAUACAUAAUAUGAAGUUAAACUGGCUUUGAUUUGGCAUUUCCAAAGUUUUUUGUCUUUUUUGCGACGAAAAAGUGCCACCUUUUCCCCCUUAACUUAACCCAGAGAUGAGAAAAUUUUAGGCAACUGAUACAACACCCAAGGCUUCAUAGCAUCUUAGAAAAAGAAUGAAAAGUAGCACUGGAACCAUAUAUUAGAGCUAGUUGUUGAAUCGCCAGCCAUAUAUGCAGUAGCAAAUAAUACCAGGCUAAGGCAAGUGCAAAUUCAGUUCAACUCACAAGAACUUCUUCCCAACAUUCCUAACAUCAGGCUGAGACUACCGAUGGGAUUCAACAUUCAUUAUUCAGAACAGUGCUUCCAAAUAUUAUAUUGAGGUGCAUGCGAAGUUAACAACAAAAAACACGCAAAAUAAGGGACAUAAAGGAACGUAGGCAAAGCAAUGACAGUAGCCAGCAUAUGAUUUAAUGAAGGCGCAUGACACAAUGACAUUUCAGAGAAAAGCUCAAAACUAAACAAGGAGACAUUAGGGAGAUAUUUAAAUAAACUUACAACUGUAAAUUCAGAAAUACAACUCAGUUUUGAAAAACACACACACACUAAUAUAUACUUAAGCUAACUUAUAGAAGAGUUAAAAUUCAAACGAGAGAGGAAAGAUGUCCAUAGUGUUAUGAAGUGAGCCUAUAUUCCAUCAGGCCAACAGGCCAGCACAUAUACAUGAAGAGAAAUAAGCAAAGAAGCCCCUAUACAAUAUGAUAACUACACACACAGCACAACCCUGUUCUAACACCCCCCCUCAAACUCAAGGGGGAUCUUGGACACCGAGUUUGGACAGGAAAAAGCUGUGUUGGGACCGUGUCUGAGCUUUCGUCAGAAAAUCAGCAAGCUGAAGCUCCGAGGGCACAUACUGAGGGGCCACAAUUCUGUCUUGCACCUGAGAACGCGUGUAGGAGGCAUCAACACCGAUGUGCUUGGUGAGCUCAUGCUUAACAGAUCACGGGCAAUGCUGAGUGCCCCAGUGCUGUCGGAGAGCAGAGGGGUCGGUGUAGCAGUGGAAACACCAAAAUCCUGAAGAAGCCAUCGUAGCCAAGUAAUUUCUGCAGUCACGGACGCCAUAGCUCGCAGCUCAGCCUCAGCACUGGAGCGAGAUACAACAGUCUGCUUCUUCGUCUUCCAGGCAAUCAGGGAGGAGCCAAGAAAAACACAAUAGGCAGAGAGAGAGCGGCGAUCAGUGGGAUCGCUGGCCCAGGUAGCAUCACAGUAGGCCUGAAGCUGAAGAGAGCUGGAGCGAGGGAAGAAUAAGCGACGAGUCACGGUACCACGAAGGUAACGAAGAACACGAAGAAGGUGACUUUAGUGAAGUUGAGUGGGAGCAGAGACAAACUGACUUAGAAUGUGCACAACAUAAGAAAUGUCAGGACGAGUGAUGCCAAGAUAGACAAGGCUCCCAACAAGAUGGCGGUAGCGUGUGGGAUCUGCAAGGGGUUCACCCUCACCAGGACGAAGAUGGAGACCAAACUCCAUAGGAGUGUCAACCGUGCGCUGAUCAGUGAGGCAGGCACGAGUGAGAAGAUCUUGGAUGUACUUCUCUUGAGAGAGAUAAAUACCCUCAGGGGAAGAAAUGAUCUCAAGUUCAAGAAAGUAGCAAAGAGAACCCAAAUCAGUCAUCAAGAAUUGCUCAUGUAGACGUUUCUUCACAAAAUCAAUGAAUUGGUGGUCAGCCCCUGUGAUAAUCAUGUCAUCAACAUAGAGUAGUAAAAGGGUGCGACCGCGAGGAGAAGUGUGAAUAAACAGAGCAGGAUCAUGAACACUAGCAGAGAACCCGAUCCUUGUGAUGACGGCAGAGAAACGCUCAAACCAGGUACGAGGAGCUUGUUUCAACCCGUAAAGAGCGCGCCGAAGGCGACAGACAGUGCCAUCAGAGAUAGUAUAGCCAGGAGGCGGCUGCAUAUAGACCACUUCCCGCAGCUCACCAUUCAAGAAGGCAUUCUUGACAUCUAAUUGAGAGAUGGACCACUGCCGAACAGCAACAACAGCCAAAAGAGUGCAAACAAUGGUCAUGUGAGCAACAGGAGCAAAAGUCUCAUCAUAGUCACGACCAUACUCCUGCUGGAAGCCACGCGCAACAAGACGAGCUUUGUAGCGCACGAGAGAACCAUCUGAAUGUGUCUUAACCUUGUAGACCCAUUUGCAAGUGAUGGGUCUAACGCCUGUAGGCAGGGGUACAAGGUCCCAAGUGCCUGUGCGCUCAAGAGCAUGAAUUUCCUCUGUCAUAGCAUGCUGCCAUUCAGAUUGAGCAGCAGCCUCACGAUACGUAGACGGCUCAACAAGAGUGGUAGCAGCAGCAACAUAGUACGCAGGAGGCUGGAGAGUGUGGCGAUCACGCAGACUAUACCGAGGAGCGGGAGGGGUAGGUGGUUCUUAAGGAAUGAGACCCAACAGGGAAGGAGUGGAAGUGGAAGUGGGCACAUCCGAGGGAGAAGGGUGCCGAGCACGACGGGAGUAGAUAAAAGGAAGCGGAGAGAGAGGGGAAGUGGAAGGUGGCGCAUCAGAGGGAGAAGGGUGUUGAGCACAACGGGAGUAGGUAAAAGGAAAAGGAGAGAGAGUGGAUGGCUCAACCUGAGUAGGAGAGUCAGGAAUAGAAACCUCAUCCUGUGUAAGCUGAAGCUCAUGAGCAGACACAGGUGAAAGGCUAGGAUUGGACCUACCAGGUGACGAUAAAGGUGAAGAAUCAGGUAGAGUCAAAAAAGAGAGAGGCUCGACUAACGACUCGGUUGUGGCAGUAGAAGAAUGACGAGGGUAGAAGAAGCGAGACUCAUCAAAAGUGACAUCUUUGGAGAUUCUCAGUCUUCGAGCAAUAGGGUCCCAGCAACGGUAACCUUUAUGCUCCAAACUGUAGCCAAGGAAAACACAUUCAACAGAUUGAGCAGUCAAUUUGGUGCGUUCAUGAGGGUGGAGAAGAACAAAACAGGCACAACCAAACAGGCGUAGACCACUAUAAUCAGCUGGACCAUCACCUAGAUGAUCAACUGGUAUCCCUCCCUGAAGAGCAACAAAAGGCUGAAUAUUAAUGAGAUAAACAGCGGUAGAGACAGCCUCAGCCCAAAAGUGCGGGGAACAGCAGAAGAUAAAAGAAGAGCCCGAGCAGUCUCAAGGACGUGACGAUGUUUGCGUUCAGCCACCCCAUUUUGAGCAUGUGCACUAGGACAGGAAUACUGAGGAAGGGUACCAUGUUCAGCAAGGAAACCACGAAGCGCACGAGAUAGGUACUCGCCAGCCGAAUCAGCACGAAAAAAUCGAACAGAGGAAUCAUACUAAGUGCGAUCCAUGGUAGCAAACGACUUGUAAAUUUGAAGCACUUGACUACGAGAUGACAUAAAGUAGAUCCAAGUGUGGCGAGAAAAAUCAUCAAUGAAAAUUAUAUAAUAUUUGUGACCCCCUUUCGAAACAAAGGGGGUAGGACCCCAUACAUCAGAGUGAACAAGUUCAAAAGGUCGUUGAGAAACAGAAUUACUAGAGGGAUAUGGAAGUUGUAUCCGCUUGCCAAGCUUAUAACCCAUACAAGUUAGUGAACUAUCACAAGAUACAGACCCUAGAGCACCACUCCUAACCAAAGAAGACAAGCGGGAGCCACAAAUGUGACCCAGUCGAUGAUGCCACUGAGCGAAGGAUGUGUUGGAGGUGGCAGCUGAAGCAAAAGGGGUGGUGAUGUCCAACUGGCUAGAGGACGCAGCGGAAGGAAGGCGCAGCCAAUCGAGCUCCCAAAGGCGCUGAGAGUCAUGGCGCCGAGGACCGAUCCCAACCAGAGUCCCCGUACGACGAUCCUGAACACAACAAGAGUCAGAAUCUAGAAUAACACGACAACUCAAGUCAAUAAGUUGACCAGCAGAUAGAAGUUGCAUAGUCAGUUUAGGAACAUGAGAAUCGACAGGGACAUGAAAAGAAACGUGGAAAGAGUCCCUCUUGCGGCAACAGAAAGAGAAGUGCCAUCUGCGUCUGAACUGUAAGAGGAGAAGGCACGGAAUUGACAGCACAAAGAUGAUCUCUAUGUGGUGUCAUGUGGAAGGAGGCCCCAGAAUCAAGAAUUCAGGGCAAAGAUGUACCUGACGAAGAGUGUGGUGGUGGACCAGAUGUCUGACCAGCAGAACCAGCAGAACCUGAGGAUGGUGCAGAAGCAGUAAGGCGGCGCAGCAAGGUGAGCAUCUCCUGGUGAACCUUCUCAAGGGAGCCCUCACGAGAAUUAGAGGAGCCUCCCGAGUCCUUUUGAGGACGGCCACCACGGCGACCCUGUUUCCUCCUCUUGAUGCACUCCGUGAUCAUGUGACCAUCCUGCUUGCAGUAGUUGUAGAAAGCACUAGUGGAGGUUGCUGCCACCUGUGUAGAAGAGGGCACACCAGGUAGCGGUAGUGGAACGCGGGCAGCUAGGACUACUGAAGAGGAUGGCAAUAAGCCCGUGCUCCGUAGGCGCACCUCCUCAGAUCGCACCUCAGCAAGGGCCUCCAGAGUAGAGAGACGAGGAUGGCGUGCCAAUAGCUGAGCACGACUCUGCUCGAACUUCGGCCGGAGGCGAGUGAGGAAGUCGUAGAGGCAACGAACCUCCAGCUUAGCUUGUUGCUGCAAAAAACACUGACAUCUGCGACAAACAUCAGCUCCCAGAGAGUCCAAUUGGCGCCACACCGCCGACAUCUCCUUGUAGAAAUCAUCCACAGUAGCAUCUCCCUGUUGUAGUUGUUGCUCUUGACAAACAAUAGAGAGAUACAUGGCAUCCCCUGUAGACUCAUAGCGAUGGCAAAAGUGCGCCCACAUCUGAUAUGCAGUGGUAAGGGCCACCACAUCCAUGGUGAGAUCAACAUCCAUGCUGUUCACCAAGAUAGAAGAGGCUCGAGCAUCAUCAUUUGUCCAUUGCUUGUAUAAGUGGAGUUGAUUCUGAUACUCUUCAGUGGCCUCUUCAAAAGCAUCUAGCAUCUCACGUUGCUUGGUUUCAUCGGCAUCAACAGGGAAGGCCAACUCAGCUGGAGGAGUGGGCAGCAGGGGACAAGGCAGAGCACCAGAGAGGUGCUCCCAGACUAGCUGGCCCCUCAUGGGCAGCUUCAUGUGUUGCACCCAGUCCCUGUAGUUCUGUCCGUUGAAGAUAACAGGACAUAGUGGGAUUGGGACAACACCGGUGGUGGUGGAGGGCGCCAUUGCAGCAGAGCAGCAGCAAUAGCUCGUUGAAGACCAGCAGCAGCAGGAGGCACAGCUUGAUGGCAGCAGCAGACCAGGAGGAGAAGAGCAGCAGCAGCAGCUCGUUGAAGAAGAGCAGCAGCAGCAGAGAAGAGGAGCAGCAGCAACAACAGCUCAUUGAAGAGCAGCAACAACACGUUGAGGCGGCGGCGCCGGCCGGGAAGGACGGCGGCAGCAGCGGCCUGGAAUGGCGGCGGCCUGGACCAGCAGGCGGCAGCAGCUACCAGGAAGAAGAGGGGAGAGGCUCGAUGAAGAGAUGAGCGGCAGCCGGCGGCGGCCGCGGCAGCGGCGGCGGCGACCAGAGGCGGCGGCGGCUGCGGAACUAACCCUAGCUCUUAUACCAUGUUAUGAAGUGAGGCUAUAUUCCAUCGGGCCAACAGGCCAGCACAUAUACAUGAAGGGAAAUAAGCAAAUCAGUCCCUAUACAAUAUGAUAACUACACACACAGCACAACCCUGUUCUAACACAUAGAACUUGAAGCAAAGACGAUUAUCUAUGUGUAGAGGCAAAUCAAGGUUAAUGUUGUUUUGGCUUUGAUUUACCUAUCUGUCCUACUAAGAACGACCCACCAUCUCUUCAGAAGCAUGUGAGGUUUUGAUCAAGCGAGCCAUUUUUAUUUCUUCAUAAAAUAUUUCAAAUGUUAGCCAACUCAUAAAAGAAUCCAAGACUUAUGUAACUGAUCCUAUUCACAGCAGUUUAAAAAAAGAGAGAAUAAGUAGCAUCAGGCUAUAAGGCAGGUACAAAUUCAGUUCAACUUACAGGAAAUUCUUUCCAACUCACAGUUUGUACUAUGCUUCUAAACAUUGGGUUACAAAUUCAGCAAAAAAAUAACACGCAUAAAAUUGGACAUAAAGUAACAUAGGCAAAACAAUAAACAGUAGCAUAUGAUUUACUGAAGAAGCACGCUGCAAUGACAUUUUAAAGAAAAGCCAAAAAUAAACAAAGAUGCAUCAAUGAGAUAUUUAGAUAAACCUACAAGUACGAGUGUACUCAGUUUUGAAACAAAAACUGUAAUAGAUAUAUAAAACACACUUACUGUCAAAUUUACUGAAUAUAUUACCAAAACGGCAUAUAUUGUUAAUAAUAUCAUAAAAACUAAGAAGGUGGGAGUCGGGGAAAUGUCAAGUACUCCCAUCCUUGGGGUGCUCCCCAUGCUCCAACUUCAAAAAAGUCAACUUUAAACAUUUAAAAAAAUUCUGACAAAAUAUAUGAAUGUUUACAGGGAAUGUGACUAUAACUCCUACAAAUUUCAGGUCAAAACUCUAAAUGUACAUUGAGAAACAAAAAAGUGAAAUCUAGCAUGAAUAGUGUCAUAAAAAGACAAAAGCAACAUUUGACACUAUUCACAUCUGAAUUUGUCUUUUUUUGUUUCUCAAUGUACAUUUCGAGUUUGGACCUGAAAUUUUUAGUGGGUGUAGUCACAUUCCUUGUGAACAUUCACAUUCUUUUUCAGAAUUUUUGAAACAUUUAAAAUUGAUGUUUUACACUUGGAGCAUAGGGACCACCUCAAGGAUGGGAGCACCUGAUAUUUUACCUAAAAAUGGUUUCCCCCGCUUCAUAUUAUAAAGCCAACAUCAUCACAACACCCGAACAGACCGAUACAACGCACGCCAUCACCGAACACAACACACACACCCAAGACAUGAUACAAAGGUGUCGAGCACCUUCCCCCAAUGCCACCGCCUACCAAGCUAACUAAAUGUGACGAAGGAUAACCGCUUGGAGAGGACAGAGACCUCCACGAAGAAAUGAGGAGGGGGGAGACAGUCAUGACAGAGUAGGGACUCCAAGACAGUGCCUCCUAGAAGGGGACGCCCACGGAUAGCCGCCACCGUCCGAUCCGUAGAUCAAGUUUUCACCAGGAGUCACAUGCGAGGGGCAAGAGCACCGCCAUGGCACCUUCAUGAAGGAUACGACGACCAUGGCCGCCGCCACCGUCGGCCAAUACAAGAACUGAGCAAGUGAUGAACUCCGGCGCUCGCACCCCUCCGACAUAUCCUCGCUCUGCCAACCAGCCGCAACCAAGCCCCCCGCGAGGCCAUGGUUGCCUGCCCACACCCGAGACGUAGGUUCCUCCCACGAACGCCACGCCUCCCGCCGCCGGGGCCGGCGCCCAACAUCCAGACACCCCCAAGAUCAACCAAAAGGAUAAACAUUGGUCCAAGGGGACACCCCAGACCGACGAGCCGCAGAAUGUAUCCCGCCUUGAAGAUCGCCGGCGCUACAACCACCCACACGCGGCCGGGAAAAGGGGGAGGUGGGGGAGCAGACGCAUCCAGACCGGCACACCCAUGUGCCGGUGACGGGGGCCCGAGCACAUCGGCGCCACUCUUGCCUGCAGCCCAAUCCCUCCCCUGGACACACCCUCGUGCCGUCCCACCUCGGCGUCCAUUGCAGAGCGGCGCAAGGCCACCAACACAGCCCCGACCACCGGCAAGGAGUGCCCACCAGGACCGCCGCCCACCCCAAGGGAAGCCCACCUGGGAGCCGGCCACGCCGCCGUCGCCGUCCAGACGGCGGGAUGCCUGGAAACCGAGCAGCCGACCCACCUGCUACCGCCGCUGCGCCUACGCCCCUACCAGCCAUGACCACGGCAAAGGCGGACGCCCGCAGCUCGCGCCGCUCCCGGCCUGCGCCGCCUGGGCCCAGAUCUGGCCGCAUGACAAUGGGGUCAGCGCUGCCAGAGCCCACUGCGCCCCACCACACCUCAGCCCCUUCACGCCACCACCCGCAGCCCACGUCUCCGCCGCCUGCUGCUGUCGCCGCGCCGCCGCCCGAUCUUGGAUCCCGCGACCGUCGUCCCGGGCGGGGGAAGGAGGAACACCUCGCCGCCGCCCACGCUGGCAGGGCUUAGCCCACCAGCACGUCGGGGCAACGGCGAGGGGAGGGAGGCGCGAGGAGGAGGGCUGCAGGCCGGCACUAGGGUCCCCCCCUCCCCCCGGGCGCUCGCGGGAGCGUCGCUGGAGGGGAGUACUCGUUCGACGCUGGUUAAGCCAUAUUUUCCCGGGGGGAGUCAUCUGAAGCUAUCGUUAACCUUAUUCUACACAACAUUGGACGAAAACAAAAUAUACUAAUACAAAAGAAAAUCAUGGCAACAUAAGUGAUCAUGAUUUACUUAUCCGUAAAUAAAUUAGCCUGCCAUGAUUCACUCACCUUACGUAUAAGAGCACUCGUUCGACGCUGGUUAAGCCAUAUUUUCAUGGUGAGUGAUAUUAUCUUCAGAAUAUGAGUACCAUGGCAAAACUGGCUACAGGACACACUCCACUAGCCUUCAUCCAUUCGCCGAAAACACGCCGCCACAUAACCGGUGCUAGGGAAAUCUCUUGCCCAUUUUAUUUACUAGGAAAUAGCAAAAUACCAUGGCAAAAACUGGCUAAAUGACACACUCUCCACUUGGUCAUCAACCAUUUUGCCGAAACUAGCCGCGUAACCCGGAGGCGGUGCUAGGGCAAAUCGUGGCCAUUUCAAUUUUCCGAAAAUAGCGAAAUACGGUGCUCCAUUCUCGGAAAACACAUUACCCGCCAUCCAGCGAGAGCGGCAAAACCAAGGCAUGACGUGGACUUGUACUUUUGGACCACAAUAGCCCUGCCUGCACACACUCUGUACGCAUGCAUGUGGAUGUGGUUGCAUCUCCUGUGAACAGCUGAGGGUAAUUGCUGUCCAAUGUAGCUCACGCGCACUACAUUGUGAAAUUCUAGCAAAAAACUAAUACGCACUAGAUAAGGGAAUGGAGGGAGUACCAUGCACGGUAUAUACCGUGCCUCGAUCUGCCACUCAUUGUGUUACCGAGAUUCGCGCCAAAAGAAAUCAAUGUGCAUGCAAAACCACUAAUCACCACCCCUCCUGUCACACGCUCAGGUUGUGUGUGUCGGUGUUUUUCGUAAAUAAUGUCCCUGUGCAUGGCUGUGCCUCUUCAUGGCAACGAUAUCAGGAAAUAUAUUAUCUUUUUCUAUGUAAACGAUUUAAAUACCUCAUAUCUUCUAAUAUAAAAGUGUCUCUUAUAUUCUUUGGACAAAUGGUUUAUUUUGACGAGAUAUUAAAACAUGACCAAUAUUAAAUAUGUUUUUGAAAACUUAUUUGUUCUUAUGGCUCAAAUACACUUUGACCAUUGUCUACAAAAAUGAAUAAGCACAUAUGGUUUGUAAACAUAUUACACACCCGAUUGAAAAAAUAAACUGGGUCUAAACUUUGGAGUACAAAAAAGCAUGGAUGAGUGAAAUACAAAUGCAUCGUUUCUUUGGGGAGAGAGGAAAGUUAUGUGCACAUGUGUAAAUGUGCCUGAUUGACAUGAUGUUAACUAUUGAAAUUGGGGCCACAGAUUCAGAUUAACUAAGCACUGCAAUAAAUACAUGCAUGCAUGAGUGGCGUGAUACAUGCACGGUAGAUACCAUGCAUGGUAGAAUCUCUUUUCUCGCCAUCCAGCUGGUUAAAUGUCGGUUACACCCUCGGAGCUCCGGUGCCCAUAUAAGAAGAGCCCCUCCCCACACCGCCACACACAGUCUAUCACACACUCCUCUCCACUCCCUGAUCCUGAAGAAGAAGAAGAAGCCAUACCUUGCACGAGGAGGCAGAUGGAGGCUAAGAGGCCAAGGUUGGCCGCCAUGGCCGCGCUGUGCGUGCUCCUCCUCCUUGUGCUGCUGCCCGGAGAGGUGGACGCCAAGUCCAAGUUCUGCCGGUGCUUCGACGACUGCUUUCCCGGGUGCGACAUCCUGAAUUCACUAAAAUCUCUCUUUUUAUUAGGAGAGCCCUGACCGGACUAUGGUCAGCAAGGUUGGGAUGCGGACAACGAAGAAAUUCGAAACCCACCCACAACCCACUUCGUAGCCACUGUCGACGAUUUAACCGACAUGCUCGACUUCGACUCCGAAGACAUCGACGGUAUGGACGCCGAUGAAGGAGACGACCAAGAACUAGCGCCUAUAGGGCACUGGAAAGCCACCUCGUCAUACGACAUAUACAUGGUGGACUCCCCAAAAUAAGGGGAUGGCGAUGGAACAACGGAGGAUGAUCCCUCCAAGAAACAGCCUAAGCGCCGGUGUCAGCGGCGCCGCUCUAAAUCCCGACAAAGCAAAAACGGCGAGUCUGGCACCGGAGACAAUAACACCCCGGAGAGUGCCGAAGACAACCCCCUCCAGCAGAAUUCAGCGCAGGAGGAUGGAGAAGCCAGCCCUCAUGAGAGAGCGGCAGACAGAGAGGUCGAGGACGAUAAUUACAUGCCUCCCUCCGAAGACGAAGCAAGCCUUGACGACGACGAAUUUGUCGUGCCUGAGGACCCCGUUGAACAAGAGCAUUUUAAACGCAGGCUCAUCGCCACGACAAGCAGCCUCAAGAGGAAACAGCAGCAGCUUAGAGCUGACCAAGACUUGCUAGCCGACAGAUGGACGGAAGUCCUCGCUGCCGAAGAGUACAAACUCGAACGCCCCUCCAAGAGCUACCCAAAGCGCAGGCUGCUACCCCAACUAGAGGAGGAAGCAACUAAACCUACAUCACCAGCGUAUGAUGCGGCCGAUCGGCCACCCCGUGGCCGCGACAGAGAGGCCUUUCAGCCAUCAACUCAAGCCGCACCCCGGCGCCGCUUCAAAAGUAGCACGGGGAAACGCGCCAGACCUGCAAGACAUAUUGGAGGACAAGGCAAGGCAAACAAGAUCGAUCUACGGAUCGCGUGGGCGCCCCACGACACGUGACGAUAACCGUCACGCCGGAUAUGGCAAAUACGGCCAGGCCAAACACAACAGACAAAGCUCAUCCGAGCUACAUCGUGAUAUAGCCCAGUACAGAGGCGCCGCACACCCACUAUGCUUCACAGAUGAAGUAAUGGAUCAUCAAAUCCCCGAGGGUUUUAAAUCCGUAAACAUCGAAUCAUACGAUGGCACAACAGAUCCUGCGGUAUGGAUCGAGGAUUAUCUCCUUCAUAUCCACAUGGCCCGUGGUGAUGAUCUACACGCUAUCAAAUACCUCCCACUCAAGCUUAAAGGACCGGCUCGGCAUUGGCUUAACAACUUGCUAGAAGAGUCAAUUGGUUGCUGGGAGGACCUGGAAUCCGCAUUCCUUGACAACUUCCAGGGCACCUAUGUGCGACCACCAGACGCUGAUGACCUAAGCCACAUAAUUCAGCAGCCAGAGGAAUCGGCCAGACAAUUCUGGACAUGGUUCCUAACCAAGAAAAAUCAAAUAGUCGACUAUCCGGACGCAGAGGCCCUCACAGCCUUCAAGCAUAACAUCCGAGACGAAUGGCUUGCCCGACACCUAGGACAGGAAAAGCCAAAAUCCAUGGCAGCCCUCACGACACUCAUGACCUGCUUUUGCGUGGGAGAAGACAGCUGGCUAGCUCGUAGCAAUAACAUGACCAAGAGCCCUGGUAAUUCGGAUACCAAGGACAACAAUGGCAGGUCGCGUCGCAACAAGCACAAACGCCGCAUUAACGGCGACAACACUGAGGAUACGGCAGUUAAUGCCGGAUUCAGAGGCUCUAAACCCGGUCAGCGGAAAAAGCCAUUCAAAAGAAAUACUCCGGGCCCGUCGAGUUUAGACCGGAUACUCGAUCACUCGUGCCAGAUACACGGCACCCCCGAACAACCAGCCAAUCACACCAACAUGGAUUGUUGGGUGUUCAAGCAGGCACGCAAGUUAAGUGCCGAAAACAGAGACAAGGGGCUGCAUAGCGAUGAUGAGGAGGAGCCCUGGCCGAUGAACAACAGAGGACUGAAGGGCUUUCCCCCACAAGUGCGGACGGUUAACAUGAUAUACGCAACCCACAUCCCCAAAAGGGAACGGACGCGUGCGCUCGGGGACGUAUAUGCGUUGGAGCCAGUCGCCCCAAAGUUCAACCCAUGGUCCUCCUGCCCGAUCACUUUUGAUCGAAGGGACCACCCCACUAGCAUUCGUCACGGCGGAUUCGCCGCAUUGGUCCUAGACCCAAUCAUUAACGGAUUUCACCUCACUAGAGUCCUCAUGGACAGCGGCAGCAGCCUGAACCUGCUUUAUCAGGAUACAGUGCGGAAAAUGGGCAUAGAUCCCUCAAGGAUUAAACCCACAUAGACGACCUUUAAAGGCGUCAUACCAGGUGUAGAGGCCAGCUAUACAGGCUCAAUUACACUCGAAGUGGUCUUUGGAUCCCCGGAUAAUUUCCGAAGCGAGGAGUUAAUCUUCGACAUGGUCCCGUUCCGCAGUGUCUAUCACGUCUUGCUCGGACGAACCGCGUUUGCAAAGUUCAAUGUGGUGCCGCACUACGCAUAUCUCAAGCUCAAGAUGUCAGGCCCUCGUGGCGGAAGUACAAAAUAGCCUCUCAAGGCAAUUCUCCAGUCCGGCUGUUAAGCGUCCGGACACCGUCAAGCACGCCCGGAGUAACCUACAACGAGACCGUCUGGCACGUUCCGAGCUAGCAUAGCAGUGCGGCCCCAACCCCAGCCCUCGCGAGAUUGCGAAACCAAUACCACGCAUACAUACUUACGCUCUGGAAAUACCGUGGGCAUAAGGGGAGGGGCACAACCACGGCAUGCCUAGAAUGGCUCAACCGCACUAGGGGCUCCCGAGUUUUGUGAUUUUUCUUUUUUUUACUUUCAGGACUCCAUUAUUCGGAAGACCUGUCCGGCAGUACAAUCGCCGAACACACAAUGCAAUAGCCAGGGAGACAGCAAGCCACGUCGAACGUCCAGGUGGUCUCUAUAACGAGCUAAAUACCUGUCUUACUUAAAGUCUCGCAGCUUGCCCCUGGAGGGGGACAUGUCAAAUAAUCUCAUCUCUUGCUUAUCGCACUAUUUGUAUCGCUCUGCUUUCAUAGCAGCCCUCUAAUAAACAAUACAUAGCUCUUGUCUAUUAUUGCAUUCAUUUUUUUAUGUACAUAUGUUCAGCUAUGACAUUAUGCAACCGUACACUUUGGUACGGCCAAUACACCAGGGGCUUAAGUUCCCCAAAAUAUGGUGUAAGAAGACCGAACACUCUCAUGAGUGCGGCACCCCGAACUUAUAGCAUUAUAUGCAUCGGCUCCGAAUCAUGUCUUGGGUUAAUAGUUGGGUUUGCUCGGUCCCAUGUUUUUGGUACCUUACGUUCCGCUAUAUUGGCUAAGGUAGCGCCGGGAGAACUACUGCGAUUGUGCCCCAGUUUAGCUGGGUUAACACCUCAGUAGAGAAAGCUAAAACUGACCGUCAUGAUAGGGCGAGAGCCGGUCGCUGUUCGAGAGGUUUUUCGAGUCCUUAAAGACUUAUGCCGCUUAGAGUGAGGAGCUAGCUUUGUCCGGCCUAGGCGUGGAUAGCGCCCCGAACUCGGUCUUCCGAAUACUAGGGGCUUCGCCAAAAUUUAAAAUUAUAGAAUUUUAUGGCUAAGUGAGAGUGGUAAAGCAUUAUAAGUCCGAUUGCCUUGUUCGUUGUGCUGAGCGCCUCCCUUGAAGGACCCAAGAAUGGGAACAAGAGCGCUCAGGUUUAUCCCGAACACCCCAGCACUUGUGGCAUGGGGGCAGAAGCCGACGACUUGCAUCUCUCAGAUUUAAUAAACGGCCGCACAUAAGGUAAUAUUUUAAAUUCAAAAAGCGUUGCUUAGCGCAUAUGAACAUGUUUUCAACGCACAAGAUAAAAACACGAGCGAGUUUACUCAAAAAAUAAAUCCUUGGAACAUUCGUUCGCCACAAGGCGGGCACCCUUCAAGACGCCCUCAUAGUACAUCUCGGGCCUGCGAUGCUCCUUCCCCUCCGGUGGUCCCUCCGUCACCAGCUUCUCCGCAUCCAGCUUGCCCCAGUGCACUUUAGCACGGGCAAGAGCCCUAUGGGCGCCUUCGAUGCGUACGGAGCGCUUGAUGACUUCAAGUCGCGGAAGCAUCCACUAGCCGCCUCACCAGCCCGAAGUAGCUCUCAGGCAGGACUUCCCCAGGCCACAGCCGGCCUAUAAGGUGUUGGGGAACGUAGUAAUUUUAAAAAAAAUUCCUACGCACACGCAAGAUCAUGGUGAUGACAUAGCAACGAGAGGGGAGAGUGUUGUUCACGUACCCUCGUAGACCGUAAGCGGAAGCGUUAUGACAACGCGGUUGAUGUAGUCGUACGUCUUCACGAUCCGACCGAUCCAAGCACCGAACGUACGGCACCUCCGAGUUCAGCACACGUUCAGCUCGAUGACGAUCCCCGGGCUCCGAUCCAGCAAAGCUUCGGGGAUGAGUUCCGUAAGCACGACGGCGUGGUGAUGAUGAUGAUGCUCUACUGGCGCAGGGCUUCGUCUAAACUCCGCGACGAUAUGAUCGAGGUGGAAUAUGGUGGAGGGGGGCAUCGCACACGGCUAAGGAACGAUCCGUAGAUCAACUUGUGUGUCAUGGGGUGUCCCCCUGCCCCCGUAUAUAAAGGAGCAAGGGGGGAGGAGGCCGGCCCUAGGAGGGGGCGCGCCAAGUGUGGAGUCCUACUAGGACUCCCUAGUCCUAGUAGGAUUCCACCUCCCUUGUUGGAGUAGGAGAAGGGGAAAGAGGGGGAGAGGAAGAAGGAAAGGGGGGCUGCGCCCCUUGUCCAAUUCGGACCAGAGGGGGGGCGCAGGCCUCCUUCCUUUUGGCCUCUCUCCUCUAUUCCCGUAUGGCCCAAUAAGGCCCAUAUACUCCCCGGCGAAUUCCCGUAACUCUCCGGUACUCCGAAAAAUACCCGAAUCACUCGGAACCUUUACAAACUGCGAAUAUAGUCGUCCAAUAUAUCGAUCUUUAUGUCUCGACCAUUUCGAGACUCCUCGUCAUGUCCCCGAUCUCAUCCGGGACUCCGAACUCCUUCGGUACAUCAAAACUCAUAAACUCAUAAUAUAACUGUCAUCGAAACCUUAAGCGUGCGGACCCUACGGGUUCGAGAACUAUGUAGACAUGACCUAGAACUAUUCUUGGUCAAUAACCAAUAGCGGAACCUGGAUGCCCAUAUUGGCUCCUACAUAUUCCACGAAGAUCUUUAUCAGUCAAACCGCAUAACAACAUACUUUGUUCCCUUUGUCAUCGGUAUGUUACUUGCCCGAGAUUCGAUUGUCGGUAUCAAAUACCUAGUUCAAUCUCGUUACCGGCAAGUCUCUUUACUCGUUACAUAAUGCAUCAUCCCGCAACUAACUCAUUAGUCACAUUGCUUGCAAGGCUUAUAGUGAUGUGCAUUACCGAGAGGGCCCAGAGAUACCUCUCCGACAAUCGGAGUGACAAAACCUAAUCUCGAAAUAUGCCAACACAACAUGUACCUUUGGAGACACCUGUAGUACUCCUUUAUAAUCACCCAGUUAUGUUGUGAUGUUUGGUAGCACCCAAAGUGUUCCUCCGGUAAACGGGAGUUGCAUAAUCUCAUAGUUACAGGAACAUGUAUAAGUCAUGAAGAAAGCAAUAGCAACAUACUAAACGAUCAAGUGCUAGGCUAACGGAAUGGGUCAUGUCAAUCACAUCAUUCUCCUAAUGAUGUGAUCCCAUUAAUCAAAUGACAACACAUGUCUAUGGUUAGGAAACAUAACCAUCUUUGAUUAAUGAGCUAGUCAAGUAGAGGCAUACUAGUGACUAUAUGUUUGUCUAUGUAUUCACACAUGUAUCAUGUUUCCGAUUAAUACAAUUCUAGCAUGAAUAAUAAACAUUAUCAUGAUAUAAGGAAAUAAAUAAUAACUUUAUUAUUGCCUCUAGGGCAUAUUUCCUUCAGUCUUCCACUUGCACUAGAGUCAAUAAUCUAGUGCACAUCAUCAUGUGAUCAACACCCAAAGGGUUUACUAGAGUCAAUAAUCUAGUUCACAUCGCUAUGUGAUUAACACCCAAAGAGUACUAAGGUAUGAUCAUGUUUUGCUUGUGAGAGAAGCUUAAUCAACGAGUCUGUCACAUUCAGAGCCGUAUGUAUUUUAAAACAUUCUAUGUUUUCAAUGCUCUGCAUGGAGCUACUCUAGCUUAAUUGCUCCCACUUUCAAUAUGUAUCCAGAUUGAGACUUAGAGUCAUCUGGAUCAGUGUAAAAGUUUGCACCGAUGUAACUUUUACAACAAACUCUUUUAUCACCUCCAUAAUCGAGAAACAUCUCCUUAGUCCUUACUAAGGAUAUUCUUGACCGAUGUCCAGUGAUCUACUAUUAGAUCAAAAUUGUAUUCCUUUGUCAAACUCGGAGUAAGGUAUACAAUAGGUCUGGUUCACAGCAUAGCAUACUUUAUAGAACCUAUGACUGAGGCAUAGGGAAUGACUUUUCAUUCUCUUUCUAUUUUCUGCCAUGGUCGGGUCUUGAGUCUUACUCAGCUUCAUACCUUCGCAUCACAGGCAAGAACUCCUUCUUUGACUGUUCCAUUUUGAACUAUUUCAAAAAUUUAUCAAGGUAUGUACUCAUUGAAAAAACUUAUCAAGCAUCUUGAUCUAUCUAUAUAGAUCUUGAUGCUCAAUGUGUAAGCAGCUUCACCGAGGUCUUGCUUUGAAAAAUUCUUAUUCAAGUAUCCUUUCAUGCUAUCCAGAAUUUCGAUAUCAUUUCCAAUCAACAAUAUGUCAUCCACAUAUAAUAUUAGAAAUGCUACAGAGCUCCCACUCACUUUCUUGUAAAUACAGGCUUCUUCAAAAGUCUGUAUAAAACCAUAUGCUUUGAUCAACUCAUCAAAGCGUAUAUUCCAACUCCGAGAUGCUUGCACCAGUCCAUAGAUGGAUCGCUGGAGCUUGCACACUUUGUUAGCAUCUUUAGGAUUGACAAAAACUUUAUGGUUGCAUCAUAUACAACUCUUCUUUAAUAAAUCCAUUAAGGAAUGCAGUUUUGACAUCCAUUUGCCAGAUUUCAUAAAAUGUGGCAAUUGCUAACAUGAUUCAGACAGACUUAAGCUUCGAUACGAGUGAGAAAAUCUCAUCGUAUUCAACACCUUGAACUUGUUGAAAACCUUUCGCAACAAGUCGAGCUUAGUAGAUAGUAACACUACUAUCAGUGUCCGUCUUCCUCUUGAAGAUCCAUUUAUUUAACAUGGCUUGCUGAUCAUCGAGCAAGUCAAUCAAAGUCCAUACUUUGUUCUCAUACAUGGAUCAUAUCUCAGAUUUUAUGGCCUCAAGCCAUUUCUUGGAAUCUGGGCUCAUCAUCGCUUCCUCAUAGUUCGUAGGUUCAUCAUGGUCUAGUAACAUGACUUCCAGAACAUGAUUACCGUACCACUCUGGUGCGGAUCUUACUCUGGAAGACCUACGAGGUUUGGUAGCAACUUGAUCUGAAGUUUCAUGAUCAUCAUCAUUAACUUCCUCACUAAUUGGUGUAGGAAUCACUGGAACUGAUUUCUGUGAUGCACUACUUUCCAAUAAGGGAGAAGGUACAAUUACCUCAUCAAGUUCUACUUUCCUCCCACUCACUUCUUUCGAGAGAAACUUCUUCUCUAGAAAGGAUCCAUCUUAGCAAUGAAUAACUUGCCUUCGGAUCUGUGAUAGAAGGUGUACCCAAUAGUUACCUUUGGGUAUUCUAUGAAGACGCACUUCUCCGAUUUGGGUUCGAGCUUAUCAGGUUGAAAACCCUUUUCAUAUAAGCAUCGCAACUCCAAACUUUAAGAAACGACAGCUUAGGUUUACUGCUAAACCAUAGUUCAUACAGUGUCGUCUCAACGGAUUUAGAUGGUGCCCUUUUAACGUGAAUGCAGCUGUCUCUAAUGCAUAACCCCAAAACGUUAGUGGUAAACCGAUAAGAGACAUCAUAGAUCUCACCAUAUCUAGUAAAGUACGAUUACGACGUUCGGACACACCAUUACAUUGUGGUGUUCCAGAUGACGUGAGUUGCGAAACUAUUUCACAUUGUUUCAAAUGAAGACCAAACUCAUAACUCAAAUAUUCGUCUCCAUGAUCAGAUCGUAGAAACUUUAUUUUUCUUGUUACGAUGAUUUUUCCACUUCACUCUAAAAUUCUUUGAACUUUUCAACUAUUUCAGACUUAUGUUUCAUCAAGUAGAUAUACCCAUAUCUGCUCAAAUCAUCUGUGAAGGUUAGAAAAUAAAGAUACUUGCCACAAGCCUUAACACUCAUCGGAUCGCAUACAUCGGUAUGUAUUAUUUCCAAUAAGUCAGUAGCUCGUUCCAUUGUUCCGAAGAACGGAGUUUUAGUCAUCUUGCCCAAAAGGCACGGUUCGCAAGCAUCAAAUGAUUCAUAACCAAGUGAUUCUGAAAAUCCAUCUUUACGGAGUUUCUUCAUGCGCUUUACACCGAUAUGACCCAAACGGUAGUGCCACAAAUAAGUUGCACUAUCAUUAUUAAUUUUGCAUCUUUUGGCAUCAAUAUUAUGAAUAUGUGUAUCACUACGAUCGAGAUCCAACAAACUAUUUUCAUUGGGUGUAUGACCAUCGAAGGUUUUAUUCAUGUAAACAGAAUAACAAUUAUUCUUUGACUUUAAAUGAAUAACCGUAUCGCAAUAAACAUGAUCAAAUCAUAUUCAUGUUCAACGCAAAUGCCAAAUAACAUUUAUUUAGUUUUAACACUAAUCCCGAAAGUAUAGGGAGUGUGCGAUGAUGAUCAUAUCAAUCUUGGAACUAUUUCGAACACACAUCGUCACUUCACCCUCAACUAGUCUCUGUUUAUUCCGUAACUCCUGUUUUGAGUUACUAAUAUUUAGCAACCGAACAAGUAUCAAAUACUCAGGGGCUACUAUAAACACUAGUAAGGUACACAUCAAUAACCUGUAUAUCAAAUAUACCCUUGUUCACUUUGCCAUCCAUCUUAUCCACCAAAUAUUCAAGGUAUUUCCGUUUCCAGUGACCAUUUCCUUUGCAGUGUAAGCACUCAGUUUCAGGCUUUGGUCCAGCUUUGGUCUUCUUCACGGGAGUGACAACUUGUUUGCCAUUCUACUUGAAGUUUCCCUUUCUUUCCCUUUGCCCUUUUCUUGAAACUAGUGGUCUUAUCAAUCAUCAACACUUGAUACUCUUUCUUGAUUUCUACCUUCAUCGAUUUCAACAUCACGAAGAGCUCGGGAAUUGUUUUCGUCAUCCCUUGCAUACUAUAGUUCAUCACGAAGUUCUCGUAACUUAGUGAUGGUGACUAAAGAAUUAUGUCAAUCACUAUCUUAUCUGGAAGAUUAACUCCCACUUGAUUCAAGUGAUUGAAGUACCCAGACAAUCUGAGCACAUGCUUACUAGUUGAGCGAUUCUCCUCCAUCUUUUAGCUAUAGAACUUGUUGGAGACUUCAUAUCUCUCAACUCGGGUAUUUGCUUGAAAUAUUAACUUCAAUUCCUGGAACAUCUCAUAUGGUCCAUGACGUUCAAAACAUCUUUGAAGUCCCGAUUCUAAGCCGUUAAGCAUGGUGCACUAAACUAUCAAGUAGUCAUCAUAUUGAGCUAGCCAAACGUUCAUAACGUCUGCGUCUGCUCCUGCAAUAGGUCUGUCACCUAGCGGUGCAUUAAGGACAUAAUUCUUCUGUGCAGCAAUGAGGAUAAAACCUCAGAUCACGGAUCCAAUCCGCAUCAUUGCUACUAACAUCUUUCAACACAAUUUUCUCUAGGAACAUAUUAAAAUAAACAUAUGAAAGCAACAAUGCAAGCUAUUGAUCUACAACAUAAUUUGCAAAAUACUACCAGGACUAAGUUCAUGAUAAAUUUAAGUUCAAUUAAUCAUAUUACUUAAGAACUCCCCCUUAGAAAGACAUCUCUCUAGUCAUUUAAGUGAUCACGUGAUCCAAAUCAACUAAACCAUGUCCGAUCAUCACGUGAGAUGGAGUAGUUUCAAUGGUGAACAUCAUUAUGUUGAUCAUAUCUACUAUAUGAUUCACGCUCGACCAUUCGGUCUCCGUGAUCCGAGGCCAUAUCUGUAUAUGCUAGGCUCGUCAAGUUUAACCUGAGUAUUCCGCGUGUGCAACUAUUUUGCACCCGUUGUAUUUGAACGUAGAGCCUAUCACACCCGAUCAUCACGUGGUGUCUCAGCACGAAGAACUUUCGCAACGGUGCAUACUCAGGAAGAACACUUCUUGAUAAUUAGUGAGAGAUCAUCUUAAAAUGCUACCGUCAAUCAAAGCAAGAUAAGAUGCAUAAAGGAUAAACAUCACAUGCAAUCAAUAUAAGUGAUAUGAUAUGGCCAUCAUCAUCUUGUGCUUGUGAUCUCCAUCUUUGAAGCACCGUCGUGAUCACCAUCGUCACCGGCGCGACACCUUGAUCUCCAUCGUAGCAUCAUUGUCGUUACGCCAUCUAUUGCUUCUACGACUAUCGCUACAGCUUAGUGAUAAAGUAAAGCAAUUACAGGGCGUUUGCAUUUCAUACAAUAAAGCGACAACCAUAUGGCUCCUGCCAGUUGCCGAUAACUUCGGUUACAAAACAUGAUCAUCUCAUACAAUAAAAUAUAGCAUCACGUCUUGACCAUAUCACAUCACAACAUGCCCUGCAAAAACAAGUUAGACGUCCUCUACUUUGUUGUUGCAAACUUUACGUGGCUGCUACGGGCUUAGCAAGAACCGUUCUUACCUACGCAUCAAAACCACAACGAUAGUUCGUCAAGUUAGUGCUGUUUUAACCUUCGCAAGGACAGGGCGUAGCCACACUCGAUUCAGCUAAAGUGAGAGAGACAGACACCCGCCAGCCACCUUUAAGCACAAGUGCUCGUAACGGUGAAACCAGUCUCGCGUAAGCGUACGCGUAAUGUCGGUCCGGGCCGCUUCAUCUCACAAUACCGCCGAACCAAAGUAUGACAUGCUGGUAAGCAAUAUGACUUGUAUCGCCCACAACUCACUUGUGUUCUACUCGUGCAUAUAACAUCAACGCAUAAAACCUAGGCUCUGAUACCACUGUUGGGAAACGUAGUAAUUUCAAAAAAAAAUCCUACGCACACGCAAGAUCAUGGUGAUAACAUAGCAACGAGAGGGGAGAGUGUUGUCCAUGUACCCUCGUAGACCGUAAGCGGAAGCGUUAUGACAACGCGGUUGAUGUAGUCGUACGUCUUCACGAUCCGACCGAUCCAAGCACCGAACGUACGGCACCUCCGAGUUCAGCACACGUUCAGCUCGAUGACGAUCCCCGGGCUCCGAUCUAGCAAAGCUUCGGGGAUGAGUUCCGUCAGCACGACGGCGUGGUGACGAUGAUGAUGCUCUACCGGCGCAGGGCUUCGCCUAAACUCCGCGACGAUAUGACCGAGGUGGAAUAUGGUGGAGGGGGCACCUCACACGGCUAAGGAACGAUCCGUAGAUCAACUUGUGUGUCAUGCGGUGCCCUCCUGCCCCCGUAUAUAAAGGAGCAAGGGGGGAGGAGGCCGGCCCUAGGAGGGGGCGUGCCAAGUGUGGAGUCCUACUAGCACUCCCUAGUCCUAGUAGGAUUCCACCUCCCUUGUUGGAGUAGGAGAAGGGGAAAGAGGGGGAGAGGAAGAAGGAAAGGGGGGCUGCGCCCCUUGUCCAAUUCGGACCAGAGGGGGGGCGCGGGCCUCCUUCCUUUUGGCCUCUCUCCUCUAUUCCCGUAUGGCCCAAUAAGGCCCAUAUACUAGGAAAUAAAUAAUAAACAUGAAUAAUAAACAUGAAUAAUAAACAUUUAUCAUGAUAUAAGGAAAUAAAUAAUAACUUUAUUAUUGCCUCUAGGGCAUAUUUCCUUCAUAAGGCCCUUAUGGAGCUCGACUAGCUGCUUCAGCUGGUCGCUCAAGGGCAUCGGGCGUCCGGCCUCAGCAUACUGGGACCAGAACACCUUCUCCGUCGAUAUCCCUUCUUCGUCUCGGUAGAAGGCGGCGGCGUCGGACACACUGCGGGGCAGAUCUGCGAAUGCUCCUGGAGAGCUCCGGAUUCGGGUAAGUAACACGUCAUUCACUUUCACAUGCUUGCUUUGCAUAAAGAAUGCCUUACCCGCCGCUAUCUUUUUCAUCGCCUCAAUCUCCUGGAGGGCUUUUUGGGCUUCGGCCUUGGCAGACUUGGCGCUUUCAUGUGCCGAGGCAAGCUCGUACUCUCGCGUCUUUGAGUCAAGCUCUAAACUCUCGUGUUUCUUCACGAGGGCAUCGAGCUCUUGCCGCACCUCCGCCACCCGCGCCUCUUGUUUCUCUCGCUCGGUGCGCUCGAUGGCCGCAUUGUCUUCGGCCUUGGACAUCGCUUCCUUCAAGGUCGCCACCUCGGUUGUGGCCCCUGUAACAUUCAUGUUGAUCCUGUCAUUAUUUGCAACCAGGUAUUUUUAUAUAUAUUUACAUAAGGCACUACCUACCUUCCUUGUCCUCGAGCUGCUUCUUGGCAAGGCCGAGCUCGUUCUCAGACCGCUCGAGGCUCUGCUUUAAUGCAUCGACCUCCAUAGUCGGUGCGGCAGAGGUCAGCAGCGCAACCUGCAUGCCCAUAUUGACAUAUUUAUAUUAGACUCCUGCGUAUAUCUUUUUAGAUCCUCAGUCCGGCUUUUCUUUCCGAACACCAAACUGAGCAUCAGGGGCUACUGUCUAUGCGGUAACAUUUCUACAUGUUUUAAAUACAUACCUCGAAGCCUGUUAGAAGGCUGGCGCAGGCUUCUAUCAGCCCGCUCUUGGCGGAGUGAACCUUCUCGAUCACCGCACUCAUAACAGUGCGGUGCUCCUCGUCGAUGGAGGCGCCGUUAAGAACCUCCGGCAAAUUGUCCGGCGCCUCCGGUUGGACGGAGGCCGCCGGCGUCGUAGGCUUUCCCUUCUUGCGAAGAGGCCGCCUGCCGGACUCCGGAACCACUGAAGGUUCCGGUGCGGUGUCCGGCCCAGGGCCGACUUAGAUCCCCCCUGGGGUUUUAUCCCCUUCGGGCCUGGAGUCCGGGAGGUCGCCUUGCUGCGCCUCCAGGACCACCUCCUCUUGGCUCAGCCCCUUUUGAGACUCCGCCUCGGCUUCGUCCGUAGGGCGGGGGGAGGAAGCCAUCGGGAGUGAAAGGCUAUUCAUAUCCGACGAGUCCAGGGAGCCACUCGACGAGUCGUCGAGCUGAGCCUUGGGAGGACUGCAUGAUUAUAUUCGCCGUCAGAAGGUACUGAGCAAUAAAGGAAUAUCGUGAGUUAUUAUGGUAUCCUGAUACUUACGAUUUUGCCAGGGGCUUGGCCCUGGAUGGCCACUCCUCUCCGCCGUCUUCGGCGUCGGAGGCAUAGUCCGGAAGAAGGGUCUUCCCCUUCAUGGACCCUCUGGCCUCCCAUGUUGGGGUGGCCUUCCUUUUCUUUCCUCCCCCCGUUGGAGGGGGAGAGGCUUCUUCUUCCUCCUCCUCGUCUUCAGAGGAGGAGUGCGCUUCGGGGUCGUCGGGCGAUGAGUCUGACACCACCAGGAGCCGGGAGCUCCUUCGAGUUCCCGUGGCCUUCUUCUUGGCCUUCUUCUCCAGCACCACGUGAGGUGCCAGAACCAGCAGCUUGGCCAAGCGAGUGUCUGCUGGGUCUUCGGGCAAAGGAGCCGGACAGUCGAUCUGUUCGGACUUCUUUUGCCAGUCCUGUUAAAGGAAUGGGAGUUUAGAUCCCGCAUAGAGUCAAACUAUGAAAAACAAGUUCCCUGUAAUGGGUAAACUAAGCUUACAACGCUGGCUUGGCGCUUCGCGCAGAAUCCGCGAUCCUCGGUAGUGGGAGGGUGAACCUCGGUGCUCUUGAAAAGCACCUUCCAAGCAUCUUCAUGCGCUGUGUCGAAGAGCCUGGACAGAGUUUGGUGCUGGGCCAGGUCGAAUUCCCACAGAUUAAAAGCCCGCUGUUAACACGGGAGGAUCCGGCGGAAGAGCAUGACCUGGACUACGUUGACGAGUUUAACCUUCUUGUCCAUCAGGUUCUGGACGCAGGUUUGGAGUCCGGUCGCCUCUUAUGGAUUACCCGACGACAGGCCCGUCUCUUUCCACGAGGUGAGCCGUGUGGGGAUGCCAGAUCGGAACUCGGGGGCCGCUGCCCAUUCAGGGUCACGCGGCUCGGUGAUGUAGAACCAUCCCGAUUGCCACCCUUUGAUGGUUUCCAAAAAGGAGCCCUCGAGCCAUGUGACGUUGGCCAUCUUGCCCACCAUGGCGCCUCCGCACUGCGCUUGUCGGCGGCCCACAACCUUAGGCUUGGCAUUGAAAGUCUUCAGCCAUAAGGCGAAGUGGGGCUGGAUGCGGAGGAAGACCUCGCACACGACGAUAAACGCUGAGAUGUUGAGGAUGAAGUUGAAGGAAAUAUGCCCUAGAGGCAAUAAUAAAGUUAUUAUUUAUUUCCUCAUAUCAUGAUAAAUGUUUAUUAUUCAUGCUAGAAUUGUAUUAACCGGAAACAUGAUACAUGUGUGAAUACAUAGACAAACUCAAUGUCACUAGUAUGCCUCUACUUGACUAGUCCAUUAAUCAAAGAUGGUUAUGUUUCCUAACCAUAGACAUGUGUUGUCAUUUGAUUAAAGAGAUCACAUCAUUAGGAGAAUGAUGUGAUUGACUUGACCCAUUCUGUUAGCCUAGCACUUGAUCGUUUAGUAUGUUGCUAUUGCUUUCUUCAUGACUAAUACAAAGUUCCUACAACUAUGAGAUUAUGCAACUCCCGUUUACCGGAGGAACACUUUGUGUGCUACCAAACAUCACAACGUAACUGGGUGAUUAUAAAGGAGCUCUACACGUGUCUCCAAAGGUACAUGUUGAGUUGGCGUAUUUCGAGAUUAGGUUUUGUCACUCCGAUUGUCGGAGAGGUAUCUCUGGGCCCUCUCGGUAAUGCACAUCACUAUAAGCCUUGCAAGCAAUGUGGCCAAUGAGUUGGUUAUGGAAUGAUGCAUUACAUAACGAGUAAAUAGACUUACCAGUAACGAGAUUGAACUAGGUAUUGGAUACCGACGAUCGAAUCUCGGGCAAGUAACAUACCGAUGACAAAGGGAACACCAUAUUUUGUUAUGCGAUUUGACCGAUAAAGAUCUUCGUAGAAUAUGUAGGAGCCAAUAUGAGCAUCCAGGUUCCGCUAUUGUUUAUUGACCUGUAACAGUUCUAGGUCAUGUCUACAUAGUUCUCGAACCCGUAGGGUCCGCACGGUUAACGUUACGAUGACAGUUUUAUUAUGAGUUUAUAAGUUUUGAUGUACCGAAGUUUGUUCGGAGUCUCGGAUGUGAUCCCGGACAUGACGAGGAGUCUCGAAAUGGUCGAGACAUAAAGAUUGAUAUAUUGGAAGCCUAUAUUUGGAUAUCGGAAUCGUUCUGGGAAAAACCGGGAUUUUUCCGGAGUACCGGGGGGUUACCGGAACCCCCCCCCCCCGGGGGGGUUAAUGGGCCUACAUGGGCCAUGAGGGAGAAGAGGAGGGCCGGCCAGGGCAGGCUGCGUGCCCCCUCCCCCCUAGUCUGAAUAGGACAAGGAAGAGGGGGGCGGCGCCCCCGUUUCCUCUUUCCCCUCCCCCUUUCCUUCUCCACCAAGGCAAGAGGGGGGAGUCCUACUCCCGGUGGGAGUCCUACUCCCGGUGGGAGUAGGACUCCUCCAGGCGUACCCCUAGGGGGCCGGCCGCACCUCCCCUCUCCCUCGUUUAUAUACGGGGGCAGGGGGCACCUCUAAACACACAAGUUUAUCAUCGUGAUCGUUCCUUAGCCGUGUGCGGUGCCCCCCUCCACCAUAUUCCACCUCGGUCAUAUUGUUGCGGUGCUUAGGCGAAGCCCUGCGUCGGUAGAACAUCAUCAUCGUCACCACGCCGUCGUGCUGACAGAACUCAUCCCCGACACCCUGCUAGAUCAGAGUCCGGGGAUCGUCAUCGAGCUGAACGUGUGCUGAACUCGGAGGUGCCGUAUGUUCGGUGCUUGAAUCGGUCGGAUCGUGAAGACGUACGACUACAUCAACCGCGUUGUCAUAACGCUUCCGCUUUCGGUGUACGAGGGUACGUGGACACACUCUCCCCUCUUGUUGCUAUGCAUCACCAUGAUCUUGCGUGUGCGUAGGAAUUUUUUUGAAAUUACUAUGUUCCCCAACAGUGGCAUCCGAGCCUAGGUUUUACGCGUUGAUGUUAUAUGCACGAGUAGAACACAAGUGAGUUGUGGGCGAUACAAGUCAUACUGCUUACCAACAUGUCAUACUUUGGUUCAGCGGUAUUGUUGGAUGAAGCGGCCCGGACCGACAUUACGCGUACGCUUACGCGAGACUGGUUUUACCGACGUGCUUUGCACACAGGUGACUAGCGGGUGUCUGUUUCUCCAACUUUAGUUGAACCGAGUGUGGCUACGCCCGGUCCUUGCGAAGGUUAAAACAACACUAACUUGACGAACUAUCGUUGUGGUUUUGAUGCGUAGGUCAGAACGGUUCUUGCUCAGCCCGUAGUAGCCACGUAAAAUUUGCAACAACAAAAUAGAGGACGUCUAACUUGUUUUUGCAGGGCAUGUUGUGAUGUGAUAUGGUCAAGACGUGAUGCUAUAUUUUAUUGUGUGAGAUGAUCAUGUUUUGUAACCGAAGUUAUCAGCAACUGGCAGGAGCCAUAUGGUUGUCGCUUUAUUGUAUGAAAUGCAAAUGCCCUGUAAUUGCUUUACUUUAUCACUAAGCGGUAGCGAUAGUCGUAGAAGCAAUAGAUGGCGUAACGACAAUGAUGCUACGUUGGAGAUGAAGGUGUCGCGCCGGUGACGAUGGUGAUCACGACGGUGCUUCGGAGAUGGAGAUCACAAGCACAAGAUGAUGAUGGCCAUAUCAUAUCACUUAUAUUGAUUGCAUGUGAUGUUUAUCCUUUAUGCAUCUUAUCUUGCUUUGAUUGACGGUAGCAUUUUAAGAUGAUCUCUCACUAAAUUAUCAAGAAGUGUUCUCCCUGAGUAUGCACCGUUGCGAAAGUUCUUCGUGCUAAGACACCACGUGAUGAUCGGGUGUGAUAGGCUCUACGUUCAAUUACAACGGGUGCUAAACAGUUGGACACGCAGAAUACUCAGGUUAAACUUGACGAGCCUAGCAUAUACAGAUAUGGCCUCAGAACAUGGAGACCGAAAGGUCGAACGUGAAUCAUAUAGUAGAUAUGAUCAACAUAGUGAUGUUCACUAUUGAAACUACUCCAUCUCACGUGAUGAUCGGACAUGGUUUAGUUGAUUUGGAUCACGUGAUCGCUUAGAUGACUAGAGAGAUGUCUGUCUAAGUGGGAGUUCUUAAGUAAUAUGAUUAAUUGAACUUAAAUUUAUCAUGAACUUAGUACCUGAUAGUAUUUUGCUUGUCUAUGUUUGAUGUAGAUAGAUGACUCGUGCUGUUGUUCCGUUGAAUUUUAAUGCGUUCCUUGAGAAAGCUAAGUUGAAAGAUGAUGGUAGCAAUUACACGGACUGGGUCCGUAACCUGAGGAUAUCCUCAUUGCUACACAGAAGAAUUACGUCCUGGAAGCACCCCUGGGUUCCAGGCCUGCUGCUAAUGCAACUGACGAUGUUAAGAACGUCUGGCAGAGCAAAGCUGAUGACUACUCGAUAGUUCAGUGUGCCAUGCUUUAUGGCUUGGAACCGGGUCUUCAACGGCGUUUUGAACGUCAUGGAGCAUAUGAGAUGUUCCAGGAGUUGAAGUUAAUAUUUCAAGCUAAUGCCCGGAUUGAGAGAUAUGAAGUCUCCAAUAAGUUCUAUAGUUGUAAGAUGGAGGAGAAUAGUUCUGUCAGUGAACACAUACUCAAAAUGUCUGGGUAUAAUAAUCACUUGAUUCAACUGGGAGUUAAUCUUCCUGAUGAUAGUGUCAUUGACAGAAUUCUUCAAUCACUGCCACCAAGCUACAAGAGCUUCGUGAUGAACUAUAAUAUGCAAGGGAUGGACAAGACUAUUCCCGAGCUCUUCGCAAUGCUAAAGGUUGCGGAGGUAGAAAUCAAGAAAGAGCAUCAAGUGUUGGUGGUCAAUAAGACCACCAAUUUCAAGAAAAAGGGCAAAGGGAAGAAGAAGGGGAACUUCAAGAAGAACAGCAAACAAGUUGUUGCUCAAGAGAAGAAACCCAAGUCUGGACCUAAGCCUGAGACUGAGUGCUUCUACUGCAAGCAGACUGGACACUGGAAGCGGAACUGCCCCAAGUAUUUGGCGGAUAAGAAGGAUGGCAAAGUGAACAAAGGUAUAUGUGAUAUACAUGUUAUUGAUGUGUACCUUACUAAUGCACGCAGUAGCACCUGGGUAUUUGAUACUGGUUCUGUUGCUAAUAUUUGCAACUCGAAAUAGGGACUACGGAUUAAGCGAAGAUUGGCUAAGGACGAGGUGACGAUGCGCAUGGGAAAUGGUUCCAAAGUCGAUGUGAUCGCGGUCGGCACGCUACCUCUACAUCUACCAUCGGGAUUAGUUUUAGACCUAAAUAAUUGUUAUUUGGUGCAAGCGUUAAGCAUGGACAUUAUAUCUGUAUCUUGUUUGAUGUGAGACGGUUAUUCAUUUAAAUCGGAGAAUAAUGGUUGUUCUAUUUAUAUGAGUAAUAUCUUUUAUGGUCAUGCACCCUUGAAGAGUGGUCUAUUUUUAUUAAAUCUCGAUAGUAGUGAUACACAUAUUCAUAAUGUUGAAACCAAAAGAUGCAGAGUUGAUAAUGAUAGUGCAACUUAUUUGUGGCAUUGUCGUUUAGGUCAUAUCGGUGUAAAACGCAUGAAGAAACUCCAUACUGAUGGACUUUUGGAAUCACUUGAUUAUGAAUCACUUGGUACUUGCGAACCGUGCCUCAUGGGCAAGAUGACUAAGACGCCGUUCUUCGGAACUAUGGAGCGAGCAACUAAUUUGUUAGAAAUCAUACAUACCGAUGUAUGUGGUCCAAUGAAUGUCGAAGCUCGCUACGGGUAUCAUUAUUUUCUCACCUUCACAGAUGAUUUGAGCAGAUAUGGAUAUAUCUACUUGAUGAAACACAAGUUUGAAACAUUUGAAAAGUUCAAAGAAUUUCAGAGUGAAGUAGAAAAUCAUCGUAACAAGAAAAUAAAAUUUCUACGAUCUGAUCGUGGAAGAGAAUAUUUGAGUUACGAGUUUGGUUUACAUUUGAAACAAUGUGGAAUAGUUUCGCAACUCACGCCACCCGGAACACCACAACGAAAUGGUGUGUCCGAACGUCGUAAUCGUACUUUACUGGAUAUGGUGCGAUCUAUGAUGUAUCUUACUGAUUUACCGCUAUUGUUUUGGGGUUAUGCUUUAGAGACGGCUGCAUUCACAUUAAAUAGGGCACCAACAAAAUCCGUUGAGACGACGCCGUAUGAACUAUGGUUUGGCAAGAAACCAUAGUUGUCGUUUCUUAAAGUUUGGGGCUGCGAUGCAUAUGUGAAGAAACUUCAACCAGAUAAGCUCGAACCAAAGUCGGAGAAAUGUGUCUUCAUAGGAUACCCAAAAGAGACUAUUGGGUACACCUUCUAUCACAGAUCUGAGGGCAAGAUUUUCGUUGCUAAAUUCGGAUCCUUUCUAGAGAAGGAGUUUCUCUCGAAAGAAGUGAGUGGGAGGAAAGUAGAACUUGAUGAGGUAACUGUACCUGCUCCCUUAUUGGAAAGUAGUUCAUCACAAGAACCGGUUCCUGUGACAACUACACCAAUUAGUGAGGAAGCUAAUGAUAUUGAUCAUGAAACUUCAGAUCAAGUUUCUACUGAACCUCAUAGGUCUACCACAGUAAGAUCCGCACCAGAGUGGUACGGUAAUCCUAUUCUGGAAGUCAUGUUACUUGACCAUGGCGAACCUACGAACUAUGAGGAAGCGAUGAUGAUCCCAGAUUCCGCAAAAUGGCUUGAAGCCAUGAAAUCUGAGAUAGGAUCCAUGUAUGAGAACAAAGUAUGGACUUUGGUUGACUUGCCCGAUGAUCGGCAAGCCAUUGAGAAUAAAUGGAUUUUCAAGAAGAAGACUGACGCUGAUGGUAAUGUAACUAUCUACAAAGCUCGCCUUGUUGCAAAAGGUUUUCGACAAGUUCAAGGGGUUGACUACGAUGAGACUUUCUCACCCGUAGCGAUGCUUAAGUCUGUCCAAAUCAUGUUAGCAAUUGCCGCAUUCUAUGAUUAUGAAAUUUGGCAAAUGGAUGUAAAAACUGCAUUCCUGAAUGGUUUUCUGGAAGAAGAGUUGUAUAUGAUGCAACCGGAAGGUUUUGUCAAUCCAAAAAGUGCUAUCAAAGUGUGCAAGCUCCAGCGAUCCAUUUAUGGACUGGUGCAAGCAUCUCGGAGUUGGAAUAAACGCUUUGAUAGUGUGAUCAAAGCAUAUGGAUUUAUACAGACUUUUGGAGAAGCCUGUAUUUACAAGAAAGUGAGUGGGAGCUCUGUAGCAUUUCUGAUAUUAUAUGUAGAUGACAUAGUGUUAAUUGGAAAUGAUAUAGAAUUUCUGAAUAGCAUAAAGGGAUACUUGAAUAAAAGUUUUUCAAUGAAAGACCUCGGUGAAGCUGCUUACAUAUUGGGCAUCAAGAUCUAUAGAGAUAGAUCAAGACGUUUAAUUGGACUUUCACAAAGCACAUACCUUGAUAAAGUUUUGAAAAAGUUCAAAAUGGAUCAGGCAAAGAAAGGGUUCUUGCCUGUAUUGCAAGGUAUGAAGUUGAGUCAGACUCAAUGCCCGACCACAGCAGAAGAUAGAGAGAAAAUGAAAGAUGUUCCCUAUGCUUCAGCCAUAGGCUCUAUCAUGUAUGCAAUGCUGUGUACCAGACCUGAUGUAUGCUUAGCAAUAAGUUUAGCAGGGAGGUACCAAAGUAAUCCAGGAGUGGAUCACUGGACAGCGGUCAAGAACAUCCUGAAAUACCUGAAAAGGACUAAGGAUAUGUUUCUCGUUUAUGGAGGUGACAAAGAGCUAGUCGUAAAUGGUUACGUCGAUGCAAGCUUUGACACUGAUCUGGACGAUUCUAAAUCGCAAACCGGAUACGUGUUUUUAUUAAACGGUGGAGCUGUAAGUUGGUGCAGUUCUAAGCAAAGCGUCGUGGCAGGAUCUACAUGUGAAGCGGAGUACAUAGCUGCUUCUGAAGCAGCAAAUGAAGGAGUCUGGAUGAAGGAGUUCAUUUCCGAUCUAGGUGUCAUACCUAGUGCAUCGGGACCAAUGAAGAUCUUCUUGACAAUACUGGUGCAAUUGCCUUGGCAAAGGAAUCCAGAUUUCACAAGAGGACCAAGCACAUCAAGAGACGCUUCAAUUCCAUCCGGGACCAAGUCCAGGUGGGAGCCAUAGAGAUUUUCAAGAUACAUACGGAUCUGAAUGUAGCAGACCCGUUGACUAAGCCUCUUCCACGAGCAAAACAUGAACAACACCAAGACUCCAUGGGUGUUAGAAUCAUUACUAUGUAAUCUAGAUUAUUGACUCUAGUGCAAGUGGGAGACUGAAGGAAAUAUGCCCUAGAGGCAAUAAUAAAGUUAUUAUUUAUUUCCCCAUAUCAUGAUAAAUGUUUAUUAUUCAUGCUAGAAUUGUAUUAACUGGAAACAUGAUACAUGUGUGAAUACAUAGACAAACUCAAUGUCACUAGUAUGCCUCUACUUGACUAGCUCAUUAAUCAAAGAUGGUUAUGUUCCCUAACCAUAGACAUGUGUUGUCAUUUGAUUAAAGAGAUCACAUCAUUAGGAGAAUGAUGUGAUUGACUUGACCCAUUCUUUUAGCCUAGCACUUGAUCGUUUAGUAUGUUGCUAUUGCUUUCUUCAUGACUUAUACAAAGUUCCUACAACUAUGAGAUUAUGCAACUCCCGUUUACCGGAGGAACACUUUGUGUGCUACCAAAUGUCACAACGUAACUGGGUGAUUAUAAAGGAGCUCUACAGGUGUCUCCAAAGGUACAUGUUGAGUUGGCGUAUUUCGAGAUUAGGUUUUGUCACUCCGAUUGUCGGAGAGGUAUCUCUGGGCCCUCUCGGUAAUGCACAUCACUAUAAGCCUUGCAAGCAAUGUGGCCAAUGAGUUGGUUACGGAAUGAUGCAUUACGUAACGAGUAAAGAGACUUACCGGUAACGAGAUUGAACUAGGUAUUGGAUACCGACGAUCGAAUCUUGGGCAAGUAACAUACCGAUGACAAAGGGAACAAUGUAUUUUGUUAUGCGGUUUGACCGAUAAAGAUCUUCGUAGAAUAUGUAGGAGCCAAUAUGAGCAUCCAGGUUCCGCUAUUGCUUAUUGACCGGAAACAGUUCUAGGUCAUGUCUACAUAGUUCUCGAACUCGUAGGGUCCACACGCUUAACGUUACAAUGACAGUUUUAUUAUGAGUUUAUAAGUUUUGAUGUACCGAAGGUUGUUCAGAGUUCCAGAUGUGAUCUCGGACAUGACGAGGAGUCUCGAAAUGGUCGAGACAUAAAGAUUGAUAUAUUGGAAGCCUAUAUUUGGAUAUCGGAAUCAUUCCGGGAGAAACCAGGAUUUUUCCGGAGUACUGGGGGGUUACCGGAACCCCCUCGGGGGUUAAUGGGCCUACAUGGGCCAUGAGGGAGAAGAGGAGGGCCGGCCAGGGCAGGCCGAGCAAACCUCCCCCCUUAGUCCGAAGAGGACAAGGAAGAGGGGGGCGGUGCCCCCCUUUCCUCUUUCCCCACCCCCCUUUCCUUCUCCACCAAGGCAAGAGGGGGGAGUCCUACUCCUGGUGGGAGUAGGACUCCUCCAGGCGCACCCCUAGGGGGCCGGCCGCACCUCCCCCCUCCCUCCGUUAUAUACGGGGGCAGGGGGUGUUGGGGAACGUUGCAUAAAAUAAAAAUUUUCCUACGUUCACCAAGAUUAAUCUAUGAGUUCAUCUAGCAACGAGAGAGAGAGAGAGAGAGAGAUGCAUCUACAUACCACUUGUAGAUCGCGUGCGGAAGCGUUCAAGAGAACGGGGUUGAGGUAGUCAUUCUCGUCGUGAUCCUAUCACCGGAGAUCCUAGCGCCGAACAGACGGCACCUCCGCGUUCAACACACGUACGGUCAGCGUGACGUCUCCUCCGUCUUGACCAUCGGGGCAUGACCAUAAAACAUAUCUCUCAUAUAAAUAGAACAGCCAUUAUUCUCGGAUUUAAAUGAGUAGCCAUCUCGUAUUAAACGAGAUCCAGAUACAAUGUUCAUGCUCAAACUUGGCACUAAAUAACAAUUAUUGAGGUUCAUAACUAAUCUCGUGGGUAAAUGUAGAGGUAGCGUGCCGACGGCGAUCACAUCGACCUUGGAACCAUUCCCGACGCGCAUCGUCACCUCGUCCUUCGCCAGUCUCCGCUUAUUCCGCAGCUCCUGCUGUGAGUUACAAAUGUGAGCAACGACACUGGUAUCAAAUACCCAGGAGUUACUACGAGUACUGGUAAGGUACACAUCAAUUACAUGUUAACCUACGAGUACUGGUAAAGUACCUUGAUCAUCAUCAUUAAUUUCCUCUCCAGUCGGUGUAGGCACCACAGGAACAUUUUCCUGAGCUGCACUACUUUCCGGUUCAAGAGGUAGUACUUCAGCGAGUUCUACUUUCCUCCCACUUACUUCUUUCGAGAGAAACUCUUUUUCCAGAAAGGAUCCAUUCUUGGCAACAAAGAUCUUGCCUUCGGAUCUAAAGUAGAAGGUAUACCCAAUGGUUUCCUUAGGGUAUCCUAUGAAGACGCAUUUUUCUGACUUGGGUUCGAGCUUUUCAGGUUGAAGUUUCUUGACAUAAGCAUCGCAUCCCCAAACUUUAGGAAAUGACAGCUUAGGUUUCUUCCCAAACCAUAAUUCAUACGGUGUCGUCUCAACGGAUUUAGACGGUGCCCUAUUUAAAGUGAAUGUAGCUGUCUCUAGAGCGUAUCCCCAAAAUGAUAGCGGUAAAUCGAUAAGAGACAUCAUAGAUUGGACCAUAUCCAAUAGAGUGCGAUUACGACGUUCGGACACACCGUUACACUGAGGUGUUCCAGGCGGCGUGAGUUGUGAAACGAUUCCACAUUUUCUUAAGUGUGUACCAAAUUCGUGACUUAAAUAUUCUCCUCCACGAUCUGAUCGUAAGAAUUUUAUCUUUCGGUCACGUUGAUUCUCUACGACAUUCUGAAAUUCCUUGAACUUUUCAAAGGUCUCAGACUUGUGUUUCAUCAAGUAGACAUACCCAUAUCUACUCAAGUCAUCAGUGAGAGUGAGAACAUAACGAUAUCCUCCGCGAGCCUCAACGCUCAUUGGACCACACACAUCAGUAUGUAUGAUUUCCAAUAAGUUGGUUGCUCGCUCCAUUGUUCCGGAGAACGGAGUCUUGGUCAUUUUGCCCAUGAGGCAUGGUUCGCAUGUGUCAAAUGAUUCAUAAUCGAGAGACUCUAAAAGUCCAUCAGCAUGGAGCUUCUUCAUGCGCUUGACACCAAUGUGACCAAGGCGGCAGUGCCACAAGUAUGUGGGACUAUCAUUAUCAACUUUACAUCUCUUGGUAUUCACACUAUGAAUAUGUGUAACAUUACGUUCGAGAUUCAUUAAGAACAAAUCAUUGACCAUCGGGGCAUGACCAUAAAACAUAUCUCUCAUAUAAAUAGAACAACCAUUAUUCUCGGAUUUAAAUGAGUAGCCAUCUCGUAUUAAACGAGAUCCAGAUACAAUGUUCAUGCUCAAACUUGGCACUGAAUAACAAUUAUUGAGGUUUAAAACUAAUCCCAUAGGUAAAUGUAGAGGUAGCAUGCCGACGGUGAUCACAUUGAUCUUGGAACCAUUCCCGACGCGCAUCGUCACCUCGUCCUUCGCCAGUCUCCGUUUAUUCCGCAGCUCCUGCUUUGAGUUACAAUAUGAGCAACGGCACCGGUAUCAAAUACCCAGGAGCUACUACGAGCACUGGUAAGGUACACAUCAAUUACAUGUAUAUCACAUAUACCUUUAGUGUUGCCGGCCUUCUUGUCCGCUAAGUACUUGGGGCAGUUCCGCUUCCAGUGACCACUUCCCUUGCAAUAAAAGCACUCAGUUUCAGGCUUGGGUCCAUUCUUUGACUUCUUCCCGGCAACUGGCUUACCGGGCGCAGAAACUCCCUUGCCGUCCUUCUUGAAGUUCUUCUUACCCUUGCCUUUCUUGAACUUAGUGGUUUUAUUCACCAUCAACACUUGAUGUUCUUUCUUGAUCUCUACCUCUGCUGAUUUCAGCAUUGAAUAUACCUCAGGAAUGGUCUUUUCCAUCCCCUGCAUAUUGAAGUUCAUCACAAAGCUCUUGUAGCUCGGUGGAAGUGACUGGAGGAUUCUGUCAAUAACCGCGUCAUCCGGGAGAUUAACUCCCAGCUGAGUCAGGCGGUUGUGCAACCCAGACAUCUUGAGUAUGUGCUCACUGACAGAACUAUUUUCCUCCAUCUUACAGCUGAAGAACUUGUCGGAGACUUCAUAUCUCUCGACCCGGGCAUGAGCUUGGAAAACCAUUUUCAGCUCUUCGAACAUCUCAUAUGCUCCGUGUUGCUCAAAACGUUUUUGGAGCCCCGGUUCUAAACUGUAAAGCAAGCCGCACUGAACGAGGGAGUAAUCAUUAGCACGAGACUGCCAAGCAUUCAUAACGUCUUGGUUCUCUGGGAUGGGUGCUUCACCUAGCGGUGCUUCUAGGACAUAAUCUUUCUUGGCAGCUAUGAGGAUGAUCCUCAGGUUCCGGACCCAGUCCGUAUAGUUGCUGCCAUAAUCUUUCAGCUUGGUUUUCUCUAGGAACGCGUUGAAGUUGAGGGUAACGUGGGCCAUUUGAUCUACAAGACAUAUUGUAAAGAUUUUAGACUAAGUUCAUGAUAAUUAAGUUCAUCUAAUCAAAUUAUUUAAUGAACUCCCACUCAGAUUAGACAUCCCUCUAGUCAUCUAAGUGAUACAUGAUCCGAGUCGACUAGGCCGUGUCCGAUCAUCACGUGAGACGGACUAGUCAUCAUCGGUGAACAUCUCCAUGUUGAUCGUAUCUUCCAUACGACUCAUGUUCGACCUUUCGGUCUCUUGUGUUCCGAGGCCAUGUCUGUACAUGCUAGGCUCGUCAAGUUAACCUAAGUGUUUUUGCAUGUGUAAAUCUGUCUUACACCCAUUGUAUGUGAACGUUAGAAUCUAUCACACCCGAUCAUCACGUGGUGCUUCGAAACGACGAACCUUCGCAACGGUGCACAGUUAGGGUGAACACUUUCUUGAAAUUAUUAUGAGGGAUCAUCUUAUUUACUACCGUCGUUCUAAGUAAACAAGAUGCAUAAACAUAAUAAACAUCACAUGCAAUUAAACAGUGACAUGAUAUGGCCAAUAUCAUAUAGCUCCUUUAAUCUCCAUCUUCGGGGCUCCAUGAUCAUCUUCGUUACCGGCAUGACACCAUGAUCUCCAUCAUUGUGUCUCCAUGAAGUUGCUCGCCAACUAUUACUUCUACUACUAUGGCUAACGGUUUAGCAAUAAAGUAAAGUAAUUACAUGGCGUUAAAUCAUUGACACGCAAGUCAUACAAUAAUUAAGACAACUCCUAUGGCUCCUGCCGGUUGUCAUACUCAUCGACAUGCAAGUCGUGAUUCCUAUUACAAGAACAUGAUCUCAUACAUCACAAUAUAUCAUUCAUCAUUCAUCACAACUUUUGGCCAUAUCAUAUCACAAAUCAUAUGUUGCAAAAACAAGUUAGACGUCCUCUAAUUGUUGUUGCAUGUUUUACGUGGCUGCAAUAGGGUUCUAGCAAGAACGUUUUCUUACCUACGUAAAAGCCACAACGUGAUUUGUCAACUUCUAUUUACCCUUCAUAAGGACCCUUAUCAUCGAAUCCGCUCCAACUAAAGUGGGAGAGACAGACACCCGCUAGCCACCUUAUGCAACUAGUGCAUGUCAGUCGGUGAAACCUGUCUCACGUAAGCGUACGAGUAAGGUCGGUCCGGGCCGCUUCAUCCCACAAUACCGCUGAAGCAAAAUAAGACUAGUAGUGGCAAGAAAGUUGACAACAUCUACGCCCACAACAAAUUUGUGUUCUACUCGCGCAAAGAGAACUACGCAUAGACCUUGCUCAUGAUGCCACUGUUGGGGAACGUUGCAGAAAACAAAAAAUUUCCUACGGUUUCACCAAGAUCAAUCUAUGAGUUCAUCUAGCAACGAGAGAGAGGAGUGCAUCUACAUACCCUUGUAGAUCGAGUGGAAGCGUUCAAGAGAGCGGGGUUGAGGGAGUCGUACUCGUUGUGAUCCAAAUCACCGGAGAUCCUAGCGCCGAACGGACGGCACCUCCGCGUUCAACACACGUACGGUCAGCGAGACUUCUCCUCCUUCUUGAUCCAGCAAGGGGGAAGGAGAGGUUGAUGAAGAUCCAGCAGCACGACGGUGUGGUGGUGGAUGCAGCAGGGAUCUCGGCAGGGCUUCGCCAAGCGUCUGCGGGAGAGAGAGGUUUAGCAAGGGGGAAGGAAGGCGCCAAGUGCAAGGGUGCGGCUGCCCUCCCUCCCCCCUCUUUAUAUAGGGCCCCUAGGGGGGGCGCCGGCCCUAGGAGAUGGGAUCUCCUAGGGGGGCCGGCGGCCAGGGGGUGGCUUGCCCCCCAAGCCAGGUGGAGGCGCCCCCAACCCUAAGGUUUCCCAACCCUAGGCGCAGGGGGGCCCAAGGGAGGGCGCACCAGCCCACCAGGGGCUGGUUCCCAUCCCACUUCAGCCCAUGGGGCCCUCCGGGAUAGGUGGCCCCACCCGAUGGACCCCCCGGACCCUUCCGGUGGUCCCGGUACAAUACCGGUGACCCCCGAAACUUUCCCGAUGACCGAAACCUGGCUUCCUACAUAUAAUUCUUUACCCCCGGACCAUUCCGGAACUCCUCGUGACGUCCAGGAUCUCAUCCGGGACUCCAAACAACUUUUGGUUUACUGCAUACUCAUAUCUCUACAACCCUAGCAUCACCGAACCUUAAAUGUGUAGACCCUACGGGUUCGGGAGACAUGCAGACAUGACCGAGACGCCUCUCUGAUCAAUAACCAACAGCGGGAUCUGGAUACCCAUGUUGGCUCCCACAUGCUCCUCGAUGAUCUCAUCGGAUGAACCACGAUGUCGAGGAUUUAAGCAACCCCGUAUACAAUUCCCUUUGUCAAUCGGUACGUUACUUGCCGGAGACUCGAUCGUCGGUAUCCCAAUACCUCGUUUAAUCUCGUUACCGGCAAGUCACUUUACUCGUACCGUAAUGCAUGAUCCCGUGACCAGACACUUGGUCACAUUGAGCUCAUUAUGAUGAUGCAUUACCGAGUGGGCCCAGAGAUACCUCUCCGUCAUACGGAGUGACAAAUAUCAGUCUUGAUUCGUGCCAACCCAACAGACACUUUUGGAGAUACCCGUAGUGCACCUUUAUAGUCACCCAGUUACGUUGUGACAUUUGGCACACCCAAAGCACUCUUACGGUAUCUGAGAGUUGCACAAUCUCAUGGUCUAAGGAAAUGAUACUUGACAUUUGGAAAAGCUCUAUAGCUAAACGAACUACACGAUCUUUGAGCUAUGCUUAGGAUUGGGUCUUGUCCAUCACAUCAUUCUCCUAAUGAUGUGAUCCCAUUAUCAAUGACAUCCAAUGCCCAUAGUCAGGAAACCAUGACUAUCUGUUGAUCAACGAGCUAGUCAACUAGAGGCUCACUAGGGACACGUUGUGGUCUAUGUAUUCACACGUGUAUUACGAUUUCCGAAUAACACAAUUGUAGCAUGAAUAACAGACUAUUACCAAGAACAAAGAAAUAUAAUAAUAACCAUUUUAUUAUUGCCUCUAGGGCAUAUUUUCAACAGGGAGCUCAGACGGUCAAGCUCAGGGAGCGAGAAUUCAGAGCGCAUGGUUUCUUGGAUGGCGACAAUGUCAAUGUGUUCGUCACGCAUGUAUUCCACUAGUUGGCGGCGUCGGCCAUCAUGGCCGAAACCGCGGAUGUUCCGGAAGAGGGCUCGCAUUAAGGCACCAUUGGGGGGCUGAUUGACCCCAAGACACGAGAGGCACUUUGAGCACGGAGGGCCGCGGUGCGGGAGCGAGUGCGGUCGUGGAUUUCGGUCCCGGCAAGCGGGAGAAGGCCACCGGUCCGCCUCGACAUCCCAUCAAGAAUCUCGCGGGCCCGGAUAGCCUCGAUCUGACCAAGGGGGGGCAGCCUCCCCCCUAAAGAUGAUGGCGGAACCCGAUGCAACCUUCGCGAGGUUGCCGAGGGGGGCCGACUCGAGAGCAGAGAAGGAACAAGACGAAGCCGAAGGGGGAACGGCAGGCGUACCUGGCUCCAGGUUCCGAGCAGCAGCACGGAGCUCCGCCCGCUCGGGGAUGGGCAGAGCCGGACAGCCCUCGGGGUGUGCGGCGUCCAGCCUAGUGCUCCGACGGGAUGCGAUCACCAGGGAGGAAGCCGACCGACCGCGACGGGAGUAGGCCGUGGACCGCGGAGGGGGGGAGGCUGGGCGGCCAAGGGGGUGGUCACCCGGGCCCCCCCAUCCGCAGCGAGGUCUGCCGCGGGCGGGACCUGAAGGGCAGACCCAGCGCAACCGAGGCGCAACGGAGUCCGAGACGAGGUCGGAGACGAGCACACCAGGGGCGGAGCAGGAGAGGCGACGAACGUGGCCGGGGCCACCAGAGGCAUCGGUGGUGGUGGGGACACGUCCGGAGGAGGCAACACGACUGCAGGGGGUGGGCCGGUAGAGAGGGAGCAGCCCCGGGUGGCACGGCAUCCUCGGGGGCCGCCACCGGGGUCGACAGGAGCAGGCGGAGAACCGGCACCGACGCCGGGGGCGGACCCGACUCCGGGACCAGUGCGACAGGAGUGGGUGGGGCAGGAGAGUGAGGGGAGGAAGCCGGGCAGACGACCAGGCCGACACUAGAGAUGUUGCUCGCCUCCGAUGAUGUAGCCACCGAGUCAGAUGGACCAUUGAGGAGCAAGCCGGGCUCGGCCUGGCAGCCCUUCCCCCUCGGCGGCAGGAGGAGGGGGAGGGGACGGAGAGCGGGAGUGUGAGUCCUCCGAGCACCCCUCCUCGUCCGAGCGAUGGGAGCAGGGGCGAUGGCGACCGUGGUAGUCCCCAUCAGUCCCCAGGUUGCCACCGGGAAGACCAACGUCGAAGGAGCGGGGGCGGCCGACGUGGUUGGGGGGCUCGGGGGCGAUCCUGGGGUCAAAGCUCUGGUCGUUGAAGAACACACGAAUGGUUGCACAGAGCUUGGCAGAGUCGAGGCACUUGACCUUGACCCAUACCUCCUCCUCCUUGCAGAGAGAGAGCUCGUCGACCACCACAAGAAUCUGGCGGAUGAUGAGCGCAGAUCGGGCAAUGUUGGGGAGGCCAGCCACAAGAAUCCAGGCAGUGUCCAGGACAGCCACGACCUGGGCAUCAAGGAUCGCCUCAGUGAUGUCGAUGAUGAGCUGGUUGAGGGCGAGCGUGAUCCGGCCACUGCGAGUGGCAUACCCGUAGCUGAUGGAGUCGGGGAAGACAACGGUGAAGAUGUAGCCAGCGGUGGGAGUGACCACCCAGUCCCACUGGCGGCGGUAGAGGUGGUUGAGCUCGGCCUCGAUCAUCUCAGGCGAGGCCACCCCAUCUACCACCGUGACAAUCGCCUGGAGCAUGGGCGUGGGGAGCGGGCGUAGGGGACCUCGAGAUGGAAGAAGCCAAGCCCCUUGAUGUCGUGGCCAUACAUUGUGAGCUUGGAAGUCACCGGACGCUCGGGGCAUAGAAGGGCAGGGUGAGUCGGAUCCUUACAGAUGUAGCAGCACUGGGGGUUGGUGCAGAUGGCUUGGGAGUGGCCCGCCACCAUGCAGUUGAAGCAGGGAGGACGAGGAAGACCAGACACGGGGCCAGGGCGACCGAGCCGUCCGAGGCCAGCGCGGAGUUGGCGGCCGGGUUGCCCCGAAGCUGCCCACGUCUCCUCUUCUUCUUGGCUGCCCCUUGGCGACCACGGCCAGGACCACCACCGGGGGCAGCAGAAGUGGCUGGAGCGGCCGGCGCAGCGGCAUGGGGAAGCACAUACUUCCUGGCCGAGGGGGCGGGUGGCUGAGCCUGGGAAUGAGGCGAUGCUGGGCGGGAUGAACGGGCGGGGGAGGGGCUCCGGCCGGGCCGAGGAGCAGGGGAGGGCGAACGAUGGCGCGGGCGACGGUCCCCCAAGGCAAGAGGGGGGAGCGGGACCGGCCGCGGCGGUCCGAGCGCACCGUCGACCGGCGGUCGUCCCGGCGCCCAUUGCGGAGCUCGCGGAGCUCAGGGCGAAGCUCCUCCUCACGGCAGAGGGCGUCCGGGGAGGGGCGGGGAGGGGCGUGGAGGUCGUCCGAGUGGUGCUUGCGUUGCGGCUCACCAUCGUCCCACUUGUGGGUCNNNNNNNNNNNNNNNNNNNNNNNNNNNNNNNNNNNNNNNNNNNNNNNNNNNNNNNNNNNNNNNNNNNNNNNNNNNNNNNNNNNNNNNNNNNNNNNNNNNNNNNNNNNNNNNNNNNNNNNNNNNNNNNNNNNNNNNNNNNNNNNNNNNNNNNNNNNNNNNNNNNNNNNNNNNNNNNNNNNNNNNNNNNNNNNNNNNNNNNNNNNNNNNNNNNNNNNNNNNNNNNNNNNNNNNNNNNNNNNNNNNNNNNNNNNNNNNNNNNNNNNNNNNNNNNNNNNNNNNNNNNNNNNNNNNNNNNNNNNNNNNNNNNNNNNNNNGGAGGCCGACCCGUAGGGUUUCCCCACGGCGGGCGAGGGCCCGCCGCCGCCGAUGUUUCCGGCGGGGGGCGAACCAGGGGUCUGGCGAAGCCGGAUAAUGGAGAAACGCACGACAGAUGAUCCGAAGGCACCGAUGAACGGACGAAAGGGGGAGACCUGGGAGACGAUGGCCGGGGCGGCACAGCUAGCCGCCGGUGCAGCCGGAGCCAGCGCGGGACUCGAGCCGGCCAUCGGGCGGCGCCAAGACGACCUAGCCAGGCCAAGGUCCGAGCGGCUAGACACGCCCUAGGAGCGACGCUGGUGGCGGCAGCCGCCACCACCCUGCAAGCUCGCACCUUGCGACCCAACGGACCUCGCCGAGCUCCGAAGCGGGGCCGUCAACCGCGGUCGCCGCGAGCCAGCGGCGGAACCCCGCACAAGGGGGGCUGAGCCACCGGCCUGGUCGGGCGACGCAGCCAGCCGAGGCGCCGGGUAGGGGGCAGGCCGGGGGGUGGCCGGAGAUGUAGGGGUGUCGUCGACCAGGUCCGCCCAACACACGCGGCGUGGGGCAACCGACGAGGGCGGAGGCAGCAGCAGGGAGGGCGGCGAGGGGGCGGGAGGGGGGGCGAAGGGAGCGCGGCGCCGUCGCCAGCGCCAGAGCGAGCGGUCGCGGUCGCCAUCCCACUCUCCGCAGGGGGAGUUUUCUAGAUUCAUCUACCAUAUGAUUUAAAGCACGCCACAAUGACACCUGUACUCGGUUUCGAAACAAAAUUUUACUGAAUAUUACCAAAACAGCAUAUACUCAUUACAAAUAUUUAGAUAAACUUACAACUGUACUCGGUUUUGAAACAAAAAUUGUAGUAGAUAUAUAAAACACACCUACUGUCAAAUUUACUGAAUAUUACCAAAACAGCAUGUACUCAUUAUAAAUAUUGUUAAUGUCACAAAAAAUGAAGAAGGGAGGAGUCAUCUGUAGCUAUCGUUAAGAUUGUUCUACACAACAUUGGAUGAAAAUAAAAUACACUAAUACUACAAAUGAAAAUCGAGGCAACAUAAGUGAUCAUGACUUACUUAUCUAAAUAAAUUUAGCCUGCCAAGAUGAAAAUGAAAUCAUUUUCUUCUGGCACAAACUAUCCCACUGGAAUUAUUACAUCCAGAAGCUUGUAAAGGCCUAAAGGGUAAACUGUCUUCAAGCUCCAAAAAAAAAUGUAAACUGCUUGGAAGUAUUUACUUGCUGCCAUGCCAAAAUGAAGUCUGAUCUCUCUCACGCGUAUGGCUGUACAGGAAAAGAGAUACUAGUGGUAUAGGUUCCACUGUACUGGUAUAUAUAAACAGCUAGCAUUGUAUCAGAACUGCAUUCUGUUUCCUUUCUAUAUCAACACAGGCAGACUCAUAGACUCAUAGUGGCUUGCCUACUUACCGAAAAAGACUUUCGCCCCGUUUUAUAUAUAAAGCAACCACCGAGCCACAACAACCGAUAAUAGUUCACGACAAACGCACACACACACGCCACGAAGUAGUCUUAAACAGAGAUGAGCAGCAUUCCCUUGUCUCUAAUCAUUUUUUUAGGUCCAACAAGGUUGUAUUCACAGUGAGUGAUAUUAUCUUCAGAAAUGAAUACCAUGGCAAAAACUGGCUAAAUGACACACUCUCCACUUGGCCAUCAACCAUUUCACCGAAACUCGCCGCAUAACCCAGAGGCGGUGCUAGGGCAAAUCAUGCCGGUUCCGUCCUCGGCUCGAGCCGCACUUUGCGACCCUAACUGGCUUGCCGCUACACAAGAGGAGUUCGACGCGUGCAACGCAACCACACUUGGCAGCUCGUUCCGCGUCCCCGCCACGCUAACAUCAUUAGCGGGAAGUGGGUGUUUCGCCACAAGACGUGCCCCGAUGGUACCCUUGAGCGGUACAAGGCCCGUUGGGUGGUACGUGGUUUCCGGCAAUGUGCUGGAGUGGACUUAACUGACACCUUCGCCGUGGUUGUCAAGCUGCGCAUGAUUCACACAGUCCUCCACCUUGCUGUGUCCCGUGCAUGACCGGUACAUCAGUUGGACGUCUCCAGCGCGUUCCGCCAUGACUAUCUCGCCGAACAUGUCUAUUGCUAGCAGCCUACUGGAUACGUCAACGCCGCUCAUACUGAUCACGUGUGCCUGCUUUCCCGAUCUCUCUAUGGGUUGAAGCAGGCACCGAGAGCGUGGUACCAACGCAUCGCCGCCUUUCUUCAGCAGAUGGGCUUCGGAACUACUCGCUCUAAUGCUUCCCUAUCCGUGCACCAUCACGGCCAUGCGACUGCAUAUCUACUCCUGUAUGUCGACGACAUCAUGUUCACGACAUCCUCGACCGAGCUUCUUGGACAGCUCACUCUACUCGUCUCAGUGUCAAGUUUGCCAUGAAGGACUUGGGUCCGCCAAACUACAUCCUAAGCAUCGAGGUUGUUUGGCACCCGACUGCUUUUUUCUUCAUCAACAGAAGUACGCGCAUGACCUUCUUGAGUACGUCGGCAUGCUUAACUACAAGCCCGUGGCCACUCCUGUUGAUACGAAGGCAAAGCUCUCCGCGCUUGAGGGCUCCCCAGCACAAGAUGGUCCGUUCUAUCGCUCUAUCAUGGGCGCACUUCAGUACUUGACUCUCAACGGACUGGAUUUGCAGUGUGCGGUGCAGCAGGUGUGCUUACAUAUGCAUGCUCCAUGCGACAGUCACUGGAACCUAGUGUAGUGGAUUCUUCGGUACAUCUUCGACACUAUGGCUCUAGGGCUCACCUUGACGGCAUCAUCCUCCACCGACAUGGUCGCCUACUCCGAUGUCGACUGGGCUGGCUGUCCGGACACUCGUCGCUCCACAUCCAGCUACCACGUCUACCUCGGGCCGUCCCUCAUCUCUUGGUCAUCUAAAUGGUAACCUACAGUAUCCCGCUCCAACGUCGAGGCAGAGUACAGGGUUGUCGCCAACGCCAUUGUUGAGUGCUCCUGGUUACGACAACUUCUUCAGGAGCUACAUCAUGACGUGUCACAUACACUUGUGUACUGUGACAAUGUCUACGCCGUCUACCUCUCCGCCAACCCUGUUCAUCAUCGCCGCGCGAAGCACAUCGAGCUCGAUAUACACUUCGCGUGAGCAGGUGGCUCUCGGACGCAUCCACGCCCUGCACGUUCCCACCGCGCAGCAGUUUGGCGUUGUCAUGACCAAGGGGUUACCGACGUCUAGCUUCGAGGAGUUUCAGUCUAGUCUAUGCAUCACCGGUGACGCAUCGACUGCGAGGGGUGUUGAGCAUGAUCAUUAUCGCACGUACGUUAGGCAGCUAGGAUUUCGUUUUAUUGUUUCCUAGUCUAGAGAUAUCUCCCGACCCUUUCCUUGUACAGGGGAUAUCGUUGAGAUAUUACUGCCCAUGUACUCUAUAUAUACUACAGCAUACGAUCAAUGCAAAUAUUCACAAUCCACGCAUAGCUUGCACCAGGAAGGAGAUGGAGGCGAAGAGGUCGAGGCCGGCCCCCAUGGCCGCUGCGCUGUGCGUGCUCCUCCUCCUGGUGCUGCUGCCCGGGGAGGUGGCCGCCAAGUCCAAGUUCUGCCGGUGCUUCGACGACUGCUUCCCCGGGUGCGUGAACAAAAAGGUGCCGCACUUCCUCUGCCAACUGUUCUGCGCCAACAAGUGCAGCCCCAAGCCCCCAACCAGGCUGCCGUCCGCGGCGACGCCAUGUGCAGGAUGGCCUGCAGCAAGCUGAGUAUCAACAUCUGCGGCUGGUCAGCGGCGCCCGCCGGUAAGAUGGGUGACCAUCUUGUUCCAUUCUUCUUCUUCUUCUUCUUCUUCUUCUUCUUCUUCUUCUUCUUCCUUCUCUUUCGACAAGGAUCAAUCUUCUUCUGUUCUGAUGAUUUCUGUUCUUGCAUUGUGAUUUGCAGAUGCAGCUGACGCCUCCGUCUGCGUGCAGAACUGCAACAGGAAACUGAGCCACAUGGCCCAGACUGAUUAACCUCCAAGCUGCUCCGUUUUAGGAGAAGAGAAAAAGAUUUGAAGAGCUAGCUAGCUUGUCGAUCAUGGGAUCAUUACAUAUAUAUGAUGUUGAGUGGCUACGAUUGUAGCAGCAACAAAUAAAAUGAGUGUCUCGAUAUGUAAGGCCGGCAUAUAUAUAUACAUAAUAUCACCCCUAUUUUUUAAUAAUAAAGCACGGAGUGCUUCUGCCCGUACGUCAAAACGUUGCACACAGAAAAAUUCGGACUGGGCCGAACCAUUCAGAAUAUCUAAUACUACGCCCAGCGCACAGAAAAAGACACACCUUACCUGGGCCGACCUAUAUAUGGGUGAUCAAUUUUUUAUUUUUUAUUUUUAUUUUCCGUCAUUUCUUUUUCUAUUUGAAAUAAUUUGUGAAUUUAAAAAGGUUUCCAAAAUUUAAAACCGUGAAUUUUAAAAUAAUAUUUAAUAAAUCAUAAAUGUUUGCGGCUUUAGAAAUUGUUUGUGAAUUUUCAAAAUAUUAGCAAAUUUUCUAAUAAAUGUCCGGAAAAUAAACAUACAUUAAUGAGUUUUUCUAAAAAAGUUCAUGUAUUUAAAAAUGUUUUAAAAUUUCACAAAAUGUCGUCAAUUCAAAAAAUAUUCAUGUAUUAGAAAAUAGCAUAAAAUAAAACUGUUCAUAAAUUCAAAUAUAUGGUUUUUGAUUCACAAAAUAUACGCGGAUUCAAAAAUGUUCACUAAUUUAGAAAAUUAUUUUAUCAAAUCCCCAAAAAAUGUUAGCCGAUUCUAGAAAUGUUCGCAGAUUAAACAAAAUGUUUGCAUAUAAUAUGUUCAUGAAUUCAGAAAACGUUCUUGAUUUUACAAAAUCUUCGUGAAUUUUAAAAAGUUCACAAUUUCAAAUAUGCUCAUGAGUUUAAGAAAAUGUUCAUGAUUUUUAAAAAUUGUUCAUGUUUUGACAAAAAUGAGAGUGAUAGUGUAUAUCGAUGAUGUAGUAAGAUGUGAUCAUUGCCAUUCAAAAUUAUGAUUUUUUUUCUCUCGUUGGAAUGCACGGACAUGUUUACUAUAUUAAUAAAAUAUGCAUUGCUUCUGCCCGUUCACCAGCAACAUUUUUUUACAGAAGACCCCCUUUGUUUUCAGGUAAUUAACCCGCUAUAUCAGUUAAGUGAGAAAAUGAACCCUUUUUUACUGUUUUAUAGAAAACCCCCUUCUUUUUCUGAUAAAUAACCCGCACUCCCAGAAAACGUAUUGUUUUUGCCUUUUUUCUAUAAUUAACCCGCAUUCCAUCUAGAACAAAUAAUACUUUAUCAAAAUACAUCUUUUAAACCCUAACUCCAAUAUUAACAUGUUAUAUAUUAAAUUUGAUUAGAAAAAUAUGUAGAAUAUGAAUCUGAUGUUAUUUUACCUGUUAAACAUUUUUAAAAUACUAUUUAGGGUGCAACCUUAAUGAAUAGCACACGAUCCAUCUUUCUUUGGUAUCGACACCGACACGGAUUACAAUGAACACCCCAUCAAAGCCAAAUUAGAGACAGAAGAAACCGUCGAUAACCUUGCAUGUACGCCUCGGCAAAAUAUUGCAUGAAAAUAAAGCAGAUUCUCAUCUAAUGCCGAGAGAGACGCCUCGGCAAUAUCUAUUGGGGUCUUAGUCAUGGUUAUUGGGUUAGGGCCGUGCGUUAUUUUCUUUUCCCGUUGCAACCCACGGACUCUUUUGCUAGUGAAGUUAAUUUCGCUUUGAUUUGGUAUUUCAAAUGUUUUUUUUGUCCUUUUGUGACGAAAAAGUGCGACCUUCACCCCCUUAACUUAUCCCAGAGAUGAGUUUUUUUUUCGAAUGUUAGCCAAGCCAUUGAUGUUGAAGCCUUCGCUACAGAUCAGAGAAAGGAGAAAAGAUAACAGGCAUAGAAGCAAAGUAGCAUUGCUACUGAAACUUAAUAACAAAGGCUAAUACUGAUUAUUUGGCCUUGGUUUGCCUGUCUUCCUAAGAAUAAGGAAAUCAUUUCUUCAGAAGCAAGUUAGGCUUGGACUUUUUGGCAGAAACAAGUGAGCCAUUUUAUUAUGGGCGACCCUACCCGUCCGCCGACUGAUUUUCUGAUUUUAUCCGUCGUCUCGACAACCAUUGGAUGCCCGACCUGCUAGCCGCCCGAUCUACUGUCCGCGCCCCGCACGGCCACUAGUUAUUUCCCGCAACAACUGCUCUGUUGCAAAAACAUUAGCACUCUUGCUCCCGGCCACCGAUAGAUCUGCGCCCCGUACGGUUUCGCAACAAAAGCAUUUCUUGCAACAAUGCUCUUGCUGCAAGAUCUGAUCUUCUCUGAUUUCCUGCAACAAUGCUCUUGUUUCCUGAAGCUCCAUCUAGCAAAUCCUAUCAAAAAUCUUCGAUGAGCUCUUGUUUCUUGUUGGAAGGGGGAGAGGGAUUUUGAUGGAAUAGUUGUUGUAUUGCUUGAGCCUCGUGGGCAUAUAUAUAGAAGUACAAAGACCAACUUGGAGUACAAGACAAGGCAGGACCAAAUCCUAGUCUAUCCUAUACUUCCUAAUAAUCUUAUACUCAACAUCCCCCCGCAGUCACAACGGUAGCGACGCAGACGGUAAGACUGGAGAAGAAUACGAAGGCAAGCCGACGGACACCCCCCACAGUCGUAACGGUCGACGCAUCGCAGAAGUCGUGACUGGAGUGGAAACCGACGAGGUUGCUCAAGCAGGCGGUAGCCCUUUGUGCCGUUUGUCGAUGUAGCCGAGAGCGUGUGUGGUGGAGCCAUGAUCGAGGUAGCCGUGCGAAGAAUGUCGUGGUCGAUGUCGAGUCGGGGUGACCGGUGUCGAGGAAGUCACCGUGGAGCCGCGGGCGCAAGGAGGCGCCGAGUUAGUCAUGGGCGCAGUGGUGACGAGGUAGUGGUGCGCCGGAAAGAUGACGGUGUUGACGAAGCAUCGCGGCGGGUUUGCCAAGCCCAGGGACACAUCAUGGACGAAGGCACGCACCGGUGUUGCCAGCAUCGGGCAUGCGUAGACGGACGAAGACGAAGUUGACGAAGCGCCGCACCAGGCUUGCCAGGCCUGGGGACACAUCGUGGACGAAGGCACGCGGCGGUGUUGCCAGCACCGGGCAUGCGGAGACUAGGACCUGCACGAGCUGUACGCCAUGUCGAAGUAGUCGGAGGGCCAGCAGAGAAGAACUCGACGACGGUUGCGGCGUCCAUCGGCGCGGGGCCAAUGUCACCAACGGUGGUCGGAGUAGACGAAGUGGUCGGGGUAGAUGACAGCGAUGCUAACGACGGGCUGGUGCUGGAUGAAGACGAAGGAGGUGGACGGGCGGCUGCGGCGGCUACGGGGUAGCGGCGGCGGCCUGACAGCGGCGGCGGCGGCUAAGUUAGGAGCGCGGCGGCGGUGCUCGAAGUAGGCGAGUAGAACCCAACAGCAUGACGAAGACCGGCGCGGACGGUGUCGUUCCCGUGCUAAGGGAGACGGCGCGGCGCAUACCACGGGAGGUCGACGCGCGGUGACGACAGAGUGGACCGCGGGCCGCGGCGCUACGGCUAGAAGGGGUGACGCAGCUGCGGUAGGCGGGUCAGGGCGACGGCGGGAAGACCUUGGGGCGGCUGCGGGGACCGCGGACCGUGACGCUGUGGCCCGAAGGGGCGACACAACGGCAAUUCGCGAGUCGGUGCAACCGCGGGGACGACCUCGGGACGACGGCGUGGACCGCGUGCCACACUCGCUACAGCCCGACGGGGCGAUGCAGUGGCGGCGCGAGGGUUGAUGCAGCCACGGGAUGGCCUAGAGCGGACGCCCUCGGGGCGACGGGGGACCGCGGGCCGCGGCACUACGGUCCAAAGGGGCGAUACAGCGGUGACGCGGGUCGGUGCAGCCGGGAGAAGAACCACGGGGCGGCGGCGCUUCGGCCCGACGGGGCGACGCAACGGCAGCCCGAUGCUCGAUCGGUGGAGAGGCGCGCUGAACUCGGGGACGAUCUUCACGGGACCUGCGGAGGCGUGUGCAACCGACGGGCCAGGUCGGUCGCGCGGCGUAGAUGAGGCGGAUCGCGGCGGCGAGCGGGUGAUCAAACUGAUCGCGCGCGAGGUCGGGGACGCCGCUCGGUAGAGGCGUGGUGGCGACGGAGUCCGAGAUGAAGCCGGCGGCGGCGGGCGGUGGGGCGGCUAUGAUUGGCCACCGCAUGGCGCGAGGCCGUCGGGUCGGGGUGAUGCAGGAGUCCCGGUCGGAGCAGGGCGGUGAUGGCGGCGUAGAUCGACGGGCGGGACGUCGCGCGAACGGUGGUGGUGAAGGGCCGCCGCAUGACGCGAGGCCGUCAGGUCGGGGCGACCAGCGGGCCGACGAGCGGACGACGCGCAAGGCCGCUGAGUCGGGGCGACCGACGGGCAGACACGUGGACGACGCGCGAGGCUGUCGGAUCGGUGAAGAAGCCGGCCAAUCGCGUCGGUGUUUGAGUAGAGGCGCACGGGGUCGGCGGCGGCGGUGGGCGAGGCAAACCGGAUCACAUAGACCAGAAAACCAAAAAGUAGACGCCGAUCAAAGCGACCAGCGAGAGUAAGAAAACCCGGAUCAAAGGAUCGGGAAAAAAGACUCUAGGGCAGCCGGCCAACACGGCCGGCGGACGAACCCUAGGUACGGCGGCACGGCCCCCGGCGGCGGUCAUGGAGGCCAACCGUCCCGGGGGCAGCGCGCAGGUACGGAAGCGGCGGCGGCUAGGGUUUAGGAUCGACUUGCGAUAGAUACCAUGUUGGAAGGGAGAGAGGGAUUUUGAUGGAAUAGUUGUUGUAUUGCUUGAGCCUCGUGGGCAUAUAUAUAGGAGUAUAAAGACCAACUUGAAGUACACGACAAGGCAGGACCAAAUCCUAGUUUAUCCUAUACUUCCUAAUAAUCUUAUACUCAACAUUUCUGAAACACGCUCUGUUCCACUCUGAAUCAUGAACACUUGCGUGAAAAAACAAUAGCUCUGUUUCGGAAACAAUAGCUCAGUUUCAGAAACGACUCCGGCGAAGCUGCGAUGCACUGGCGGAUGUUGCGACAACGGCGGAGCGGGAGGCGGGGCCGCCGUUGUGCUUAUCAACUGCGCUUGAAGCAACGAUAGAUGCAUAAGCAGAAGCGGCAGGCUGGGAGCACGUAGGCCAGAGUUGCAGCAAGCAUCAGCAGCCGUGGUAGAUGGCUGAUGGGGCGGGGUCUUUGGUUGAGUGCGGGGGCAGCGGGUACAUGAGAGAGAGGAGAGGAAGAGAUGAGGAUGAAAAUUCUCGGUGGAGAGGAUGGAUAAGGUUGGGAUGUGGGGAGUGGGACGGGACCACCGGGGCACGUGGCGAACACCAAAGGCGGCAGAUGGAGGGGUGGAAAUCAGCCGGUUGAAUAGGAUCGUUUCCCUUUUAUUAUUGGCAAAAAAAAAAAAGCGAGCCAUCUUAUUUUCUUUAGAAGCUAGCUCGCAAAAUAUUUCAAUUGUUAGCCAACUCAUAGAGGAAUUCCAAAUUUUUGCAACUGAUACAACAUCCAAGGCUUCAUAGCAUCUAAAAAACGAAGAAAAGGUAGCACUGAAACCUCUUCCCAACUCCCAGCUCAGACUGAGAGUCUGAGACUACUAAUGGGAUUCAAAAUUCAUUAGUCAGAACUAUAUAUACUUCUGAAUAUUGAGGUGCAAAUUUAACAACAAAAAACACGCACAAGGGGCAUAAAGGAAUAUAGGCAAAGCAGUAGACAGUAGCUACCAUAUGAUUUAAUGAAGGCGCACGACACAAUGACAUCCCAGAGAAAGCUCAAAACGGAACAAGGAGCCAUUAGGGAGAUAUUUUGAUUAAUUUACAACUGUAAUUUCAGAAACACAGUCUAAAAAAAAUCAGAAACACAACUCAGUUUUGAAACAAAAAUAGUUAGGGAUAUAUAAAACACAACUACUGUCAAAUUUACUGAAUAUUCCUGAAACAGCAUAUACUCAUUAAUAUCGUAUAAAAAUGAAGAAUAUGCACAAUCAGAAUUAGCUGGUCAGAAGGGAGGAGUCAUCCUGAGCUAUCGUUUAAACUAUAUACUACUAAAAAAUCAUGGCAACAAUACUCAUUAAUCAGAAACAAAUUUAGCCUGCCAAGGUGAAAAUGAAAUCAUUUUUUUUCUGGCAUCAAAUAUUCCCCACUGGAAUUAUUACAUCCAGAAGCUUGUAAACUGCCUGGAAAUAUUUAUUUUCUGUCAUGCCAAAUUGCCAAUGAAGUCUUGUCUCACACGCGUAGCUGUACAGCUAAUUAAAGAUAUACUAGUAGAGUAAUGUUCACUCGUAUAAACAGAAUUGGAUCAGAACUGCAUUGUGUUAACUUUCUACAUCAACACAGGCAGCUUCAUAGUGGCUUGCCUGCAAAAACAGAGAUGAGGAGCAUUCCCUUGUCUCUAAUCAUUUUUAGGUCCAAGGUUAGUUUCAUGGUGAGUGAUAUUAUCUUCAGAACAUGAGUACCAUGGCAAAACUGGCUACAGGACACACUCCACUGGCCUUCAUCCAUUCGCCGAAAACACGCCGCCACAUAACCGGUGCUAGGGAAAUCUCUUGCCCAUUUUAUUUACUAGGAAAUAGCAAAAUACCAUGGCAAAAACUGGCUAAAUGACACACUCUCCACUUGGUCAUCAACCAUGUCACCGAAACUCGCCGCAUAACCCGGAGGCGGUGCUAGGGAAAAUCGAUCGCGCCCGUCCCAAUUUCCCGAAAACAGCGAAAUACGAUGCUCGAUGCUCGGAAAAUACAUCAUGAGUCAUCCAGGUAAAAUGACGGUUAUGCCCUCUGGACAGAACUCCGGUGCCCAUAUAAGAAGAGUCCACACUGCCACAGCCUCUCACACACUCACCACAGCACUUGUCUCCACUCCCUGAUCCCGAAGAAGAAGAAGCCAUAGCCCAUAGCUUGCGCGAGGAAGGAGGAGAUGGAGGCGAAGAAGCUCAAGGGGGCGGCCACCACGGCCGCGCUGUGCGUGCUCCUCCUCCUGGCGCUGCUGCCCGGAGAGGCGGCCGCCAAGUCGGAGUUCUGCAAGUGCUUCGACGCCUGCUACCCCGGGUGCGUGAACGACAACGUGCCGGGCUACGCCUGCGAUGUGUUCUGCGCCAACAAGUGCAGCCCCGACACCAACCAGCCCGGCUAUGGCGUCGGCAUCGGCUCUGCCGCCGCCACCUGCAGGAUGGCCUGCAAGAUACAGAUCUGCGGCCACUCAGCGGCGGCGCCGACCGGUAAGACGACGGACCAUCUUGAUCACAUUCUUCUUCUUCUUCUUGAUGAGUUGAAAAUCUGCGUGUUCUUUUUUCUUUUUGACAAGAAUAGUUCCAUUUUUUGUUCUGAUGAUUUCUGUUCUUGCACUGCAAUUUCUGCAGAUGCAGCUGAUGACGCCGACGUCUGCGUGCAGAACUGCAACAGGAAGCUGAGCCAGAUGGCCCAGACACACUGAUUAACCGCCAAACCACUCCGUUUUAGGAGAAGAGAAGAAGAUCUGAAGAGCUACCUUGUCGAUCAUGGGAUCAGUACAUAUAUAUAAAUAUGAUGUUGAAUGGCUGUGAUUGUAGCAGCAACCAAUAAAUUGAGUAUGUCGAUAUGUAAGGCAUAAUUAAUAUACAUAAUAUGAAGUU